UUUUUUAGUAUAUAUCAUCACACAAUCAUAGUACAACCAGCACACACAAGCCAUCAUCCUCCGUACAAGCCAGAAAAGUAAAUAAGAACAAUCACAAGAUUUACAUGGGCAUCAUGCCCUAAUCUUGAUUGAUCUUGACAUUAUAUAGCAUGGGAUGACUUAAUGGUGGUGGGUUACAACACACCACUUAUUUAAUCCAACCGGCAAUAUAAGUAAUGACGAUACUAUGUCUGGCAUGGUUGAUGUACCCGAACAUCUCAUGCCAACAAUUACUCUUGGACGUUUGCUUCACCAUUUCCUUUUUCUGCUUGAGUCCCAAGUGGUGGUUUUGGUUGUGCAUUCGGGUCAGGCAGUGGUUGUGGAUUCGGGUCUGGUAAUGGUUGUGGGUUUGGAUCAGGUUGCGGUCCUGGUAAUGGCUGAGGGUUUGGGUUUGGCUGUGGGUCCGGCAAUGGCUUCGGGUUUGGGUCUGGUAAUGGUUGCGGGUUUGGAUGAGGUUGUGGUCCUGGUAAUGGCUGAGGGUUUGGGUUUGGCUGUGGGUUCGGCAAUGGUAUCGGGUUUGGGUCUGGUAAUGGUUCUGGGUUUGGAUCAGGCUGUGGUCCUGGUAAUGGCUGAGGGUUUGGGUUUGGUUGUGGGUCCGGCAAUGGUUUUGGGUUUGGGUCUGGUAAUGGUUGUGGAUUUCGAUCAGGCUGCGGUCUUGGUAAUGGUUGAGGGUUUGGUUUUGCUCGUGGGUCUGGUAGUGGCCGCGGCUUUGUGUUUGGCUGUGGGUUCAUCAACUGUUGCAGGUUUUGUCCUGGCAAUAGUUGUGGAUUUGGGUCAGGNNNNNNNNNNGUUGUGGGUUUGGAUCAGGUUGCGGCCCUGGUAGUGGCUUAGGGUUUGGGUUUGGCUGUGGGUCCGGCAAUGGUUUUGGGUUUGGGUCUGGUAAUGGUUGUGGAUUUCGAUCAGGCUGCGGUCUUGGUAAUGGUUGAGGGUUUGGUUUUGCUCGUGGGUCUGGUAGUGGCCGCGGCUUUGUGUUUGGCUGUGGGUUCAUCAACUGUUGCAGGUUUUGUCCUGGCAAUAGUUGUGGAUUUGGGUCAGGGUGUGGUCCUGGUAAUGGUUGAGCGUUUGGAUCAGGUUGUGGAUCUAGCAGUGGUUGUGGGUUUGUAUGAGGUUUAGGCUCGGGUAGCGGUUGCGGCUUUGGGUCUGGUUGUGGUCCCGGCAAUGGUUGAGGGUUUGGAUCUGGCUGUUUUCCUGGUAGUGGUUCUGGAUUUGGGUUCGCCCGUGGGCCGUACUGAGGGUCUCUAGUGAUCAGGUUGUGCCUCCCGGCAGCAAGAGCAAACACUGGAAGAAGCAUAAGCAGCAACGGUGCUACGAGAAGAGAAGACGCGGAUGGGCGCUUCCUCAUCGUCAUGGCUAAGCUUGUGUUGGUACGAACUUGCAAGUGCGUGCGUCUCGAUCUUCCUAUUUAUAAGCGAAUUCAGCCAUCAAGGCUGGACAAGCAUGUACGUUGUUUACUCCAACUCUGAUUGGGCUUGUUAGCUUUGCCUUUUUGAAGAUGCGGGACUGCACGCCUCCGCUUAGUGCUCUAACCAGCAGCUAGCCACAAUAAAAAGUCAUUUAGAAAAGUUUUGAGUUAUCAUCAUAAAGAAAAAGUUUGUGUAGUUUUCGUCUGGAUAGAUGUGACAUUUUUCAGUUGAUCGUAGGAGAGCAACAUGCAGAAGCAUACAGUUGCCCAAGUUGUGAACAACCUGAUCACUUUCAGUAAUUCUGUUGAAUUCAUAGCAGGGUAGCAGAUGGCUGUGAGCAUGGAAUUUGUAAAUCAUGUAAUUUUUUUUAAAAUAAGAAAAAUCAUGUAAACACGUAUACAUGUUAUUUGCGUGUCCAAGAAGUUUAAUUAAGCCAUACACAGAUUUGUAGGCUACAUAAAAAAAAUCCAGCCCAAAUGCAAUAGAAAUAAGCCUAUUUUAAAUUAUGUAUUUGUCGUUUUCCCCUUUGUGUAGACUAUAUAUGAUUUUUUUUCAAAUAUAUUUUGUUGAAAUUUUGUAUGAACACACUAUACCUUUUUUAUUGAAAAUUUUGAGGUGCAAGAAUAAAGUUCUUGAUAAAAAAUAAAGAAGCCUGUACGAUGUAUUGUUGUACACAGGAAUAUCGUGGAUUCUAAACUUGAGGUUUGCAUGGAUGGAUUUUUUUUACGGAAUCUAGUUUAAAUGAGUCCUAUUGUUUCCCGUAUGAAUUCCUAUUCUAUGACUCAAACAACACAUACAGAAAAAUUUUCUAAGGAUUAGAUUCCUCCAAAAUUCUAUUAAAAGUUUAAAACCCCUUUGAAUCAAAGAAGCCUAUUCCCCCCAAAAUAAAGAAAAGAAUCAAAUGAGCUCGGGUGAACAGUAAAAUCAAAACUAAAUCAAUUUUUUUUUAAAAAAAUCCAAUUUUUUUUGGGAGAAAAAGUUCUAAGUGCUUGCAAAAAUUCGCCAUGAAAUCACAUUUCUAGAAGGCGUGGCAAAAAAAAAAAACAAAAUCAGUACUCUGAAAAAGCUACUUUCAAAAGCAUUUUGGAGCACUGAAUUUGUUUUUUUUGCCACGCUUUACAGGAAUGUGAUUUCAUGAUGAAUUUUUGCAAGCACUUAAAACUUUUGUUAAUGUUUCUCCCAAAAAAAAUUGGGAAUUUUUUGAAUUUUUUUUGAAUUUUUUUCGAUUUUACUGUUCACCAAGCUCAAAUGAGCUCGGGAGCAGAAAGGCACUUUCGAUCAAAGAAGCCUAUUUCGCAGCAAAGCUAGUGGCUGUCCUAUCGGACAGUGAUGCACCUUUAAGUACGCGGUUUCUAAUAAUCACGAUCAGUGCACGCCGUGCACAGUGCACUCAUUUCGGUUGUAGAUGUAACUUUCACAUUUCAUACACCAAUCACGAUCAGUUGCUUGUUGGCACGGGCGGAGCUCCGUAGGGGCAGACCUGGGCCAUGGCCCGCCCAGGAAUUUGACAAAAAAAGUUUUUACUACUAGUCGUCUUAGCCCAGCCCACUAGCCCACGCACGCACUGAAUAUCCCCCCAUCGGCCAUCGUCUCCUCGUCUCGCGCACGCUGCACGCACAGGCACACUCACGCCUUCCCCAAUUCCCCAUCCUCUCAGUCCCAGACUCAUGUAGGUUGUAGCCACGCCGCCGACGACUACCGACGUGGACAGGGAACACGUCCACACGGUCCACCGGAGCGCGCCGCCCGCCAUCUCUCGGAGCAACCGCCAUGGCAACGCCCGCCGGGAUCUCGCCUCGCCCCUGCCCUGCUCCCUCCUGCCGCCCAUCAUCCGCACACUUACANNNNNNNNNNNNNNNNNNNNNNNNNNNNNNNNNNNNNNNNNNNNNNNNNNNNNNNNNNNNNNNNNNNNNNNNNNNNNNNNNNNNNNNNNNNNNNNNNNNNNNNNNNNNNNNNNNNNNNNNNNNNNNNNNNNNNGCAAUAACCUGAUUUUGUUCAUUUCCAUACACCCAGUGAUCAGUCCUGCUAGUGAUAAAUAAUAGUCUGAUGAUCUGAUCUUACGCAAAUUUUAACAUAGGUAGUCGGGAAAGGAAAAUAAGACUCAGAGAAGAAGAAGAUCACUGCACAAUAAGAUGGAAGAUGAGAAUCUGGCUAAUAACUUGUUAGUUCACAUAGAUGGUGGAAUUCUAGAAAACUACAGCCACGAAGAUGUCAUUGCAGAUUUUAUAAACAAGAAGAUCGGAGAGUUGAUUGUAUGUGAGUAGGUCCAUGUCUAAUGUCUCUGACACUUUUGUAUUAUCUAACUCAAUAGUGAAACAUGGUUGAACUGUACUUUGGUACAUAUAUAUAUUAUAUAUAUACAUAUCUGCUAGCUCAAUCUUGUGACCUGGGUGCUUGUAAUAUGUCCUUAUGGGUAAGAAUUUAGAAAAAAUUGUGUUCUUCUUCAGUCUGGCCCGCCCAACUUUUUCGUUCAAGCUCCGCCACUGCUUGUUGGUGCACAUCCAAUGCUCUAGAAUAAAACAAAAAGUACUCCUAUAUACAAAACGUACUUUACCUAACCUACCGAUUGAAUCGUAUACAUAGAUGAAAAAGAAAAGACAUCCGUAGAGUCCCAAGUUACCUACCGAUUGAAUCGUAUGUAUAGAUGAAAAAGAAAAGACAUCCAUAGAGUACCAAGUUACCUACCGAUUGAAUCAUACAUAUAGACGAAAAAGAAAAGACAUGCAUAGAGUACCAAGUUAAAGACGAUAUGACCUCACAACUAGAUUGGGUUGGGUGAGUGGAGUGCCACUUUAAUCCUUGUCUGGAGCACGCGCUAUGAUAUUUCUUCAGAGGCGCUGAAGUGGGGAACAAGACUGAUAGAACAAACAACAAGUGAGAUAUUUUGAGCUUCACUAGGUUGGAGGCCUGGUGUGCUCAGAAUUUAUCAGGGUGUAUUCAGGUUGCAGCACUGCUGCCAAGGCAUUUCUCCAGCUUCGCUCUGAAGAUCUUUUGCUUUGCUUUGUUCCUCUGUUUGUUUGUAAUGAAGUUCCCGUGUUUUGUGAUGGUUGCAAGUUCCCUGUAGUCUUUAUAUAUUUGGCUCAAGGGUGCCUGAAAAUUUCAUAGUUAUGUUUAAAAAAAUGCCGUAGUUGUUAGUUUUUGGACCAUCUAUCUAAAUCUAUCAAAGACCCUGUUGCCCGAGCUAGCCAAUCAAAGUUGGGCCAUUUGCAUCAAGCUAGGUAGGAUGCGUCGCCGGAAAACCCAAAUCGCUAAUUAAGGAGUACUCUUUGCAAAGGUCACUCCUACCAUGUCGCAACUAGUGAGUUUUCCUUUUUUUGUCGAUUCGUUUAUUCAACACGUUUUAUCGGUUAAAACAUGCAUUCACAUCUUGAAUCGUUUUCUCCAUUGUAUUCCUCGCACUGAGAUCUUGAAAAUUAGAUCCGAUCUGAUAGGUUUUGAUGAACGUUUUACUUUACGAAAAAUACCGAACAAAAAACAAACCGGGAGCACAUUUUUUCCUUUCUGAAAAGGGCACAAUCGUGCCUCUCGUGUCGUUACAAAUCUUAUCUCUGUUCGUCGUUACAAAUCCUAUGAAUUGCUAUUCUAUCUUCACAACAUCCUAUACUCCCCUUGUGUCGUUACAAAUCUUAUCUCUGUUCGUCGUUUUUGCAUUGACAAUUCAGUAACAAUUGAGUUUUACCCCCUUGACUUUGUUGUGAAGGAUCUAGCCACUCGGACUCCUUAUGAGCCGCAGUAGCUACGGCCAGCUUUACUCCUUCUCCGGCGGCACCACCAACCACCAGGCGGUGCUCUCUAUGGACGUUGGAAACUUGUGGCAUCAGCGAUUAGGGCACCCCAGUGCUGCCUCCCUUUCCCGUUUGGCGAGCAGUUUUUAACCAAAUUGUAAUAAGCCAGUCCACCCCAUGGUACUUGUCAUGCAUGUCAAUUAGGCCACCAUGCUCUCCUUCCUUUUUCCAGAUUCUCUGUCAUUUACUACUUUUCCUUUUCAACUAGUGCACUAUGAUAUAUGAACCUCAACAAUUGCGAGUUUUUCCGGCUUCAAAUAUUAUUUGUUUGUCAUAGACGACUUCACUCACUUCCCUUGGAGCUUCCCGCUACACCAUAAGCCCCAUGCCGCUGCCACCCUUGAACGCUUUUACCAGUACGUGCUCAUACAAUUCCGUGUUUACAUACAGUGUGUCCAAUGUGAUAAUGGGGGCGACUUCCUCAACGUUCACCUAUGCACUUUCUGUUGGGGAACGUUGCAGAAAACAAAAAUUUUCCUACGGUUUCACCAAGAUCCAUCUAGGACUUCAUCUAGCAACGAGUAAUCGGAUUGCAUCUACGUACCUUGUAGAUCGCGAGUGGAAGCGUUCAAAGAACGGGGAUGAGGGAGUCGUACUCGACGUGAUCCAAAUCACCGGAGAUCCUAGCGCCGAACGGACGACACCUCCGCGUUCAACACACGUACGGUCAGCGUAACGUCUCCUUCCUCUUGAUCCAGCAAGGGGCAAGGAGAGGUUGAGGAAGAUGGCUCCAGCAGCAGCACGACGGCGUGGUGGUGAUGGAGCUGCAGUACUCCGGCAGGGCUUCGCCAAGCUCUAUGGAGGAGGAGGAUGUGUUGGAGAGGGAGAGGGAGGCACCAAAGGCAAAGGUAAGAGGUCCUCCAUCCUCCCCACUAUAUAUAGGGGGGCCUAGGGGGGGACGCCGGCCCUAGGAGAUGCAAUCUCCUAGGGGGGCGGCGGCCAAGGGGUGGGGGACUUGCCCCCCAAGCAAGGGGGCGUCCCCCCCCUUUAGGGUUUCCCCCACCCUAGGCGCAUGGGCCCUAGGGGAAGUGGCGCCCCAGCCCACUUUGGGCUGGAUCCCUUCCCACUUCAGCCCAUGGGGCCCUCCGGGAUAGGUGGCCCCACCCGGUGGACCCCCGGGACCCUUCCGGUGGUCCCGGUACAAUACCGGUGACCCCGAAACUUGUCCCGAUAGCCGAAAUAGCACUUCCUAUAUAUAAUUAUUUACCUCCGGACCAUUCCGGAACUCCUCGUGAUGUCCGGGAUCUCAUCCGGGACCCCGAACAACAUCCGGGUUACUGCAUAUACAUAUCCCUAUAACCCUAGCGUCACCGAACCUUAAGUGUGUAGACCCUACGGGUUCGGGAGACAUGUAGACAUGACCGAGAUCGCUCUCCGGUCAAUAAACAAUAGCGGGAUCUGGAUACCCAUGUUGGCUCCCACAUGCUCCUCGAUGAUCUCAUCGGAUGAACCACGAUGUCGAGGAUUCAAGCAACCCCGUAUACAAUUCCCUUCGUCAGUCGGUAUGUUACUUGCCCGAGAUUCGGUCGUCGGUAUCCCAAUACCUCGUUCAAUCUCGUUACCGGCAAGUCACUUUACUCUUACCGUAAUGCAUGAUCCCGUGACCAGACACUUGGUCACUUUGAGCUCAUUAUGAUGAUGCAUUACCGAGUGGGCCCAGUGAUACCUCUUCGUCAUACGGAGUGACAAAUUCCAGUCUUGAUCCGUGUCAACCCAACAGACACUUUCGGAGAUACCCGUAGUAUACCUUUAUAGUCACCCAGUUACUUGUGACGUUUGGUACACCCAAAGCACUCCUACGGUAUCCGGGAGUUACACGAUCUCAUGGUCUAAGGAAAAGAUACUUGACAUUGGAAAACUCUAGCAAAUGAACUAUACGAUCUUGUGCUAUGUUUAGGAUUGGGUCUUGUCCAUCACAUCAUUCUCCUAAUGAUAUGAUCUCGUUAUCAAUGACAUUCAAUGUCCAUAGUCAGGAAACCAUGACUAUCUUUGAUCAACGAGCUAGUCAACUAGAGGCUUACUAGGGACAUGUUGGUGUCUAAGUAUUCACACAUGUAUUACAAUUUCCGGAUAACACAAUUAUAGCAUGAAUAAAAGACAAUUAUCAUGAACAAGGAAAUAUAAUAAUAAUGCUUUUAUUAUUGCCUCUAGGGCAUAUUUCCAACAGUCUCCCACUUGCACUAGAGUCAAUAAUCUAGUUACAUUGUGAUGAAUCGAACACCCAUGGAAUUCUGGUGUUGAUCAUGUUUUGCUCUAGGGAGAGGUUUAGUCAACGGAUCUGCUACAUUCAGGUCCAUAUGUACUUUACAAAUAUCUAUGUCUCCAUCUUGAACAUUUUCACGAAUGGAGUUGAAGCGACGCUUGAUGUGCCUCGUCUUCUUGUGAAAUCUGGGCUCCUUGGCAAGUGCAAUAGCUCCAUGUUGUCACAGAAGAGCUUCAUAGGCCCCGAUGCAUUGGGUAUGACUCCUAGGUCGGUGAUGAACUCCUUCACCCAAAUUGCUUCAUGCGCUGCCUCCGAGGCUGCCAUGUACUCCGCUUCACAUGUAGAUCCCGCCACGACGCUCUUCUUGCAACUGCACCAGCUUACUGCCCUACCAUUCAAAAUAUACACGUAUCCGGUUUGUGACUUAGAGUCAUCCAGAUCUGUGUCGAAGCUAGCAUCGACGUAACCAUUUACGACGAGCUCUUCGUCACCUCCAUAGACGAGAAACAUUUCCUUAGUCCUUUUCAGGUACUUCAGGAUAUUCUUGACCGCUGUCCAGUGUUCCUUGCCGGGAUUACUUUGGUACCUACCUACCAAACUUACGGCUAGGUUUACAUCAGGUCUGGUACACAGCAUGGCAUACAUAAUAGAACCUAUGGCUGAGGCAUAGGGGAUGAUACUCAUCUCUUCUAUAUCUUCUGCCGUGGUCGGACAUUGAGCUGAGCUCAAUUUCAUACCUUGCAACACAGGCAAGAACCCCUUCUUAGACUGAUCCAUAUUGAAUUUCUUCAAUAUCUUAUCAAGGUAUGUGCUUUGUGAAAGACCUAUGAGGCGUCUUGAUCUAUCUCUGUAGAUCUUGAUGCCUAAUAUAUAAGCAGCUUCUCCAAGGUCCUUCAUUGAAAAACUCUUAUUCAAGUAGGCCUUAAUGCUGUCCAAAAGUUCUAUAUCAUUUCCCAUCAAAAGUAUGUCAUCUACAUAUAAUAUGAGAAAUGCUACAGAGCUCCCACUCACUUUCUUGUAAACACAGGCUUCUCCAUAAGUCUGCGUAAACCCAAACGCUUUGAUCAUCUCAUCAAAGCGAAUGUUCCAACUCCGAGAUGCUUGCACCAGCCCAUAAAUCGAGCGUUGGAGCUUGCACACCUUGUCAGCAUACUUAGGAUCGACAAAACCUUACGGCUGCAUCAUAUACCAUUCUUCCUUAAGGAAACCAUUAGGAAUGCCGUUUUGACGUCCAUUUGCCAUAUUUCAUAAUCAUAGAAUGCGGCAAUUGCUAACAUGAUUCGGACGGACUUCAGCUUCGCUACCGGUGAGAAAGUCUCAUCGUAGUCAACCCCUUGAACUUGUCGAUAACCCUUAGCGACAAGCCGAGCUUUAUAGAUGGUCACACUACCAUCCGCGUCUGUCUUCUUCUUAAAGAUCCAUUUAUUUUCUAUGGCUUGCCGCUCUACGGCCAAGUCAGUCAAAGUCCAUACUUCGUUUUCAUACAUGGAUCCUAUCUCGGAUUUCAUGGCUUCCAGCCAUUUGUCAGAAUCCGGGCCCGCCAUCGCUUCUUCAUAGUUUGAAGGUUCACCGUUGUCUAACAACAUGAUUUCCAAGACAGGGUUGCCGUACCAAUCUGGUGCGGAACGUGUCCUUGUGGACCUUCGAAUUUCAGUAGGAGCUUGAUCAGAAGUAUCUUGAUCAUCAUCAUUAACUUCCUCUCUAGUCGGUGCAGGCACCUCAGGAACAUUUUCUUGAGUUGCGCCAUUUUCCGGUUCAAGAGGUAAUACUUCAUCAAGUUCUACUUUCCUCCCAUUUACUUCUUUCGAGAGAAACUCCUUCUCUAGAAAGGAUCCAUUCUUGGCAACAAAGAUCUUGCCUUCGGAUCUGAGGUAGAAGGUAUACCCAAUAGUUUCUUUAGGGUAUCCUAUGAAGACGCAUUUUUCCGACUUGGGUUCGAGCUUUUCAGGUUGAAGUUUCUUGACAUAAGCAUCGCAUACCCAAACUUUUAGAAACGAUAGCUUAGCUUUCUUCCCAAACCAUAAUUCAUACGGUGUCGUCUCAACGGAUUUCGACGGAGCCCUAUUUAAAGUGAAUGCGGGAGUCUCUAAAGCAUAGCCCCAAAAAGAUAGCGGUAAAUCGGUAAGAGACAUCAUAGAUCACACCAUAUCUAAUAGAGUGCGAUUACGACGUUCGGACACACCAUUACGCUGAGGUGUUCCAAGCGGCGUGAGUUGUGAAACUAUUCCAUAUUUUCUUAAGUGUGUGCCAAACUCGUGACUCAAGUAUUCUCCUUCACGAUCUGAUCGCAGGAACUUGAUUUUCCUGUCACGUUGAUUCUCAACCUCACUCUGAAAUUCCUUGAACUUUUCAAAGGUCUCAGACUUGUGUUUCAUUAAGUAGACAUACCCAUAUAUACUCAAGUCAUCAGUGAGGGUGAGAACAUAACGCCACCGUGAGCCUCAACAGUCAUUGGACCGCACACAUCAGUAUGUAUGAUUUCCAAUAAGUUGGUUUCUCGCUCCAUUGUUCCUGAGAACGGAGUCUUGGUCAUUUUACCCAUGAGGCAUGAUUCGCACAUGUCAAAUGAUUCGUAAUCAAGAGACUCUAAAAGUCCAUCAGCAUGGAGCUUCUUCAUGCGUUUGACACCUAUGUGACCAAGGCGGCAGUGCCACAAGUAUGUGGGACUAUCAUUAUCAAUCUUACAUCUUUUGGUACUCACACUAUGAACAUGUGUAGCAUUACGCUCGAGAUUCAUUAAGAAUAAACCAUUCACCAUCGGAGCAUGACCAUAAAACAUAUCUCUCAUAUAAAUAGAACAACCAUUAUUCUCGGAUUUAAAUGAGUAGCCAUCUCGAAUUAAACGAGAUCCUGAUACAAUGUUCAUGCUCAAAGCUAGCACUAAAUAACAAUUAUUAAGGUUUAAAACUAAUCCCGAAGGUAAAUGUAGAGGUAGCGUGCCGACGGCGAUCACAUUGACCUUGGAACCAUUCCCGACGCGCAUCGUCACCUCGUCCUUCGCCAGUCUCCGCUUAUUCCGCAGCUCCUGUUUUGAGUUACAAAUGUGAGCAACCGCACCGGUAUCAAAUACCCAGGAGCUACUACGAGUACUGGUAAGGUACACAUCAAUUACAUGUAUAUCACAUAUACCUUUCGUGAUGCCGGCCUUCUUGUCCGCUAAGUAUUUGGGGCAGUUUCGCUUCCAGUGACCACUUCCCUUGCAAUAAAAGCACUUAGUCUCGGGCUUGGGUCCAUUCUUUGGCUUCUUCCCGGCAGCUUGCUUGCCGGGCGCGGCAACUCCCUUGUCGUCCUUCUUGAAGGCUUUCUUACCCUUGCCCUUCUUGAACUUAGUGGUUUUAUUCACCAUCAACACUUGAUGUUCCUUUUUGACUUCUACCUCAGCUGAUUUCAGCAUUGCAAAUACGUCAGGAAUGGUCUUUUCCAUCCCCUGCAUAUUGAAGUUUAUCACAAAGCUCUUGUAGCUCGGUGGAAGCGACUGAAGGAUUCUGUCAAUGACCGUGUCAUCCGGGAGAUUAACUCCCAGCUGAGUCAAGCGGUUAUGCAACCCAGACAUAAUGAGUAUGUGCUCACUGACAGAACUGUUUUCCUCCAUCUUACAGCUGAAGAACUUGUCGGAGACUUGAUAUCUCUCGACCCGGGCAUGAGCUUGGAAAACCAUUUUCAGCUCUUCGAACAUCUCAUAUGCUCCGUGUCUCUCAAAACGCUUUUGGAGCCCCGGCUCUAAGCUGUAAAGCAUGCCGGACUGAACGAGGGAGUAGUCAUCGGUACGUGCCUGCCAAGCGUUCAUAACGUCUUGUUCUGCAGGGAGAACAGGUGUGUCACCUGGCGGUGCUUGUAGGACAUAAUCUUUCUUGGCAGCUAUGAGGAUGAUCCUCAGGUUUCGGACCCAGUCCGUGUAGUUGCUGCCAUCGUCUUUCAGCUUGGUUUUCUCUAGGAACGCGUUGAAGUUGAGGACUACGUUGGCCAUUUGAUCUACAAGACAUAUUGUAAAUUUUUUAGACUAAGUUCAUGAUAAUUAAGUUCAUCUAAUCAAAUUAUUCAAUGAACUCCCACUUAGAUAGACAUCCCUCCAGUAAUCUAAGUAUAACAUGAUCCGAGUUAACUAGGACGUGUCCGAUCAUCACGUAAGACGGACUAGUCAACAUCGGUGAACAUCUUCAUGUUGAUCGUAUCUUCUAUAUGACUCAUGCUCGACCUUUCGGUCUUCUGUGUUCCGAGGCCAUGUCUGUACAUGCUAGGCUCGUCAAGUCAACCUAAGUGUUUGCAUGUGUAAAUCUGUCUUACACCCGUUGUAUGUGAACGUUGGAAUGAAUCUAACACCCGAUCAUCACGUGGUGCUUCGAAACAACGAACUGUCGCAAUGGUGCACAGUUAGGAGAAACACUUUCUUGAAAUUAUUAUGAGGGAUCAUCUUAUUUACUAUCGUUGUUCUAAGUAAACAAGAUGCAGAAACAUGAUAAACAUCACAUGCAAUCAAAUAGUGACAUGAUAUGGCCAAUAUCACAUAGCUCCUUUGAUCUCCAUCUUGGGGCUCCAUGAUCAUCUUGUCACCAGCAUGACACCAUGAUCUCCAUCAUCAUGAUCUCCAUCACAGUGUCUCCAUGAAGUUGCUCGCCAACUAUUACUUCUACUACUAUGGCUAACACGUUUAGCAAUAAAGUAAAGUAAUUUACAUGGCGUUUCUCAAUGAAACGCAGGUCAUACAAAAAAUAAAGACAACUCCUAUGGCUCCUGCCGGUUGUCAUACUCAUCGACAUGCAAGUCGUGAUUCCUAUUACAAUAGCAUGAGCAUCUCAUACAUCACAUGUAUAUCAUUCAUCAUUCAUCACAACUUUGGCCAUAUCACAUCACAGAACACUUGCUGCAAAAACAAGUUAGACGUCCUCUAAUUGUUGUUGCAAGUUUUACGUGGCUGCAAUAGGGUUCUAGCAAGAACGUUUUCUUACCUACGUGAAAGCCACAACAUGAUUUGUCAACUUCUAUUUACCCUUCAUAAGGACCCUUUUCAUCGAAUCCGCUCCAACUAAAGUGGGAGAGACAGACACCCGCCAGCCACCUUAUGCAACUUGUGCAUGUUAGUCGGUGGAACCGGUCUCACGUAAGCGUACGUGUAAGGUUGGUCCGGGCCGCUUCAUCCCACAAUACCGUUGAAGCAAGAUAAGACUAGUAGCGGCAAGAAAGUUGACAACAUCUACGCCCACAACAAAUUGUGUUCUACUCGUGCAAAGAGAACUACGCAUAGACCUAGCUCAUGAUGCCACUGUUGGGGAACGUUGCAGAAAACAAAAUUUUUCCUACGGUUUCACCAAGAUCCAUCUAGGAGUUCAUCUAGCAACGAGUGAUCGGAUUGCAUCUACGUACAUUGUAGAUCGCGAGCGGAAGCGUUCAAAGAACGGGGAUGAGGGAGUCGUACUCGACGUGAUCCAAAUCACCGGAGAUCCUAGCGCCGAACGGACGGCACCUCCGCGUUCAACAGACGUACGGUCAGCGUAACGUCUCCUUCCUCUUGAUCCAGCAAGGGGCAAGGAGAGGUUGAGGAAGAUGGCUCCAGCAGCAGCACGAUGGCGUGGUGGUGAUGGAGCUGCAGUACUCCGGCAGGGCUUCGCCAAGCUCUAUGGAGGAGGAUGUGUUGGAGAGGGAGAGGGAGGCACCAAAGGCAAAGGUAAGAGGUCCUCCAUCCUCCCCACUAUAUAUAGGGGGGCCUGGGGGGGGGGGCGCCGGCCCUAGGAGAUGCAAUCUCCUAGGGGGGCGGCGGCCAAGGGGUGGGGGACUUGCCCCCAAGCAAGGGGGCGCCCCCCCCUUUAGGGUUUCCCCCACCCUAGGCGCAUGGGCCCUAAGGGAAGUGGCGCCCCAGCCCACUUUGGGCUGGAUCCCUUCCCACUUCAGCCCAUGGGGCNNNNNNNNNNNNNNNNNNNNNNNNNNNNNNNNNNNNNNNNNNNNNNNNNNNNNNNNNNNNNNNNNNNNNNNNNNNNNNNNNNNNNNNNNNNNNNNNNNNNNNNNNNNNNNNNNNNNNNNNNNNNNNNNNNNNNNNNNNNNNNNNNNNNNNNNNNNNNNNNNNNNNNNNNNNNNNNNNNNNNNNNNNNNNNNNNNNNNNNNNNNNNNNNNNNNNNNNNNNNNNNNNNNNNNNNNNNNNNNNNNNNNNNNNNNNNNNNNNNNNNNNNNNNNNNNNNNNNNNNNNNNNNNNNNNNNNNNNNNNNNNNNNNNNNNNNNNNNNNNNNNNNNNNNNNNNNNNNNNNNNNNNNNNNNNNNNNNNNNNNNNNNNNNNNNNNNNNNNNNNNNNNNNNNNNNNNNNNNNNNNNNNNNNNNNNNNNNNNNNNNNNNNNNNNNNNNNNNNNNNNNNNNNNNNNNGGAAGAUGGCUCCAGCAGCAGCACGAUGGCGUGGUGGUGAUGGAGCUGCAGUACUCCGGCAGGGCUUCGCCAAGCUCUAUGGAGGAGGAUGUGUUGGAGAGGGAGAGGGAGGCACCAAAGGCAAAGGUAAGAGGUCCUCCAUCCUCCCCACUAUAUAUAGGGGGGCCUAGGGGGGGGGGCGCCGGCCCUAGGAGAUGCAAUCUCCUAGGGGGGCGGCGGCCAAGGGGUGGGGGACUUGCCCCCAAGCAAGGGGGCGCCCCCCCCUUUAGGGUUUCCCCCACCCUAGGCGCAUGGGCCCUAAGGGAAGUGGCGCCCCAGCCCACUUUGGGCUGGAUCCCUUCCCACUUCAGCCCAUGGGGCCCUCCGGGAUAGGUGGCCCCACCCGGUGGACCCCCGGGACCCUUCCGGUGGUCCCGGUACAAUACCGGUGACCCCGAAACUUGUCCCGAUAGCCGAAAUAGCACUUCCUAUAUAUAAUUCUUUACCUCCGGACCAUUCUGGAACUCCUCGUGAUGUCCGGGAUCUCAUCCGGGACCCCGAACAACAUUCGGGUUACUGCAUAUACAUAUCCCUAUAACCCUAGCGUCACCGAACCUUAAGUGUGUAGACCCUACAGGUUCGGGAGACAUGUAGACAUGACCGAGAUCGCUCUCCGGUCAAUAACCAACAGCGGGAUCUGGAUACCCAUGUUGGCUCCCACAUGCUCCUCGAUGAUCUCAUCGGAUGAACCACGAUGUCGAGGAUUCAAGCAACCCCGUAUACAAUUCCCUUCGUCAGUCGGUAUGUUACUUGCCCGAGAUUCGAUCGUCGGUAUCCCAAUACCUCGUUCAAUCUCGUUACCGGCAAAUCACUUUACUCUUACCGUAAUGCAUGAUCCCGUGACCAGACACUUGGUCACUUUGAGCUCAUUAUGAUGAUGCAUUACCGAGUGGGCCCAGUGAUACCUCUCCGUAAUACGGAGUGACAAAUCCCAGUCUUGAUCCGUGUCAACCCAACAGACACUUUCAGAGAUACCCGUAGUAUACCUUUAUAGUCACCCAGUUACGUUGUGACGUUUGGUACACCCAAAGCACUCCUACGGUAUCCGGGAGUUACACGAUCUCAUGGUCUAAAGGAAAAGAUACUUGACAUUGGAAAACUCUAGCAAACGAACUAUACGAUCUUGUGCUAUGUUUAGGAUUGGGUCUUGUCCAUCACAUCAUUCUCCUAAUGAUGUGAUCUCGUUAUCAAUGACAUCCAAUGUCCAUAGUCAGGAAACCAUGACUAUCUGUUGAUCAACGAGCUAGUCAACUAGAGGCUUACCGGGGACAUGUUGGUGUCUAAGUAUUCACACAUGUAUUAUGAUUUCCGGAUAACACAAUUAUAGCAUGAAUAAAAGACAAUUAUCAUGAACAAGGAAAUAUAAUAAUAAUGCUUUUAUUAUUGCCUCUAGGGCAUAUUUCCAACACUUUCCUCUACGAGGCAUCACCCUUUGUCACUCUUGCCCGCACACCUCCCCUCAAAACGAGAAGGCCGAGCACGGCAUUCGCUCCAUGAACGACAUUAUGCGCACACUCCUCCAAGCUCACAUGCCACCUUCGUUUUGGGUCGACGCCCUCAACACCACCACAUACUUACUGAAUUUCGCCCAUCCCGAGCCAUCGACCACAUCCCACCCUACUACGCCCUCUUUGGUACCUCUCCAGAUUACAGCUCCCUACGCACGUUCGUCUGCCUCUGCUACCAAAACCUCUAUGCCACUAUGCCCUACAAAUUAGCUCCCCGCUCCGUUCGCUGCAUUCUCCUCGGUAUGCCACUUGAGCAUAAAGGCUACAGGUGCCUGGACCUCUCCAAUCGAUGACUCAUUACCUCUAGACAUGUCAUUUUUUGACGAAAACACCUUCCCAUUCAUUGAUGCCCCGAGCGGCCACACGCCUGCACGAGCAGGGUCUGCUCCGGCCGCAGAAAAUCAAGCACCCACCUCCAUCCCCCUCGGAUCACCCACUCCACCAGUCACGCACCACCUCCCAUCCCCAAGCAUGCAGCCCGACCCCACCUCCCAAACCCAUGCAGUGAUUCACCCAUCACCUGCAUGCGGCGCGCCUCCCCUCGUGUCGACUCCACGCCUAGAUGCAGUAGCCCGCCACUUACGCCUCUGCAUGCAGCGCCCCUCACUCUAUGCCGCCCACGCAUGUAGUACGAUCCCACCCUGAGUCGUGCCGAUUUUACCUGCCAAAAACUUGCAUGCCAGGCGCACCUGCGCAAAGUCCAGUUUUCUGCAGCCAAAGAAGCUUCUGACCGUCGCUACCUCUCCCGCCCCCAUCUCUCCUAUUCCCGCAAACUACAAAGAAGCUCUCAAAGACCCCAACUGGUACAAUGUUAUGCUUGAAGAAUUUAACGCUUUGUUGCAAAGCAAAACGUGGUCUUUGGUUGCUUGCUCUGCAGGUGUCAACUUGGUGUCUGGGAAGUGGAUAUUCCGCCACAAGCUUCAUCUCGACGGCUCCCUCGCUCGGUACAAGGCGUGUUGGGUACUUCGUGGCUUCACAAAGCAGCCUGGCAUUGACUACGGGGAGACCUUCAGCCCCGUGUGGUGAAACCGGCCACCAUCCGCGUCAUCCUCAGUGUCGCCAUCAGUAACCGUUGGGCCAUUAACCAGCUGGACAUGAAGAACCCCUUCCUCCACGGCACUCUCGAUGAGCUCGUCUACAGUCAGCCGCCGGCUAGCUUCGUCGACACCGCACACCCCUCGACCAUGUGCAAACUCCAAAAGUCCUUGUAUGACUUAAGCAGGCUCCUCGUGCGUGGUUCCAGCGGUUCACCACAUUCCUUCUCUCGCUCGGCUUCACGGUGUCAAGAUCCGACACAUCCCUAUUUAUUCUCCGCCGUGGCACCUCAGUGGCAUACCUCUUGCUAUAUGUUGACGAUAUCAUUCUCACCGCUAGCUCCUCCGGGUUACUCACCAUCGUUACCGCCGCUCUCACCUCUGAGUUCUCCAUGGCGAACCUCAGCUCGCUCCACCACUUCCUUGGCGUCAAUGUUCAGUGCAGCCCCACUGGUUUGUUUCUUUCCGAGCAACAGUAUGCGCUCGAGAUCCUUGAUCGCGCCUCCAUGCUCAACUGCAAACCCAUCACUACCCCCGUCGACACCAAAGCAAAGCUCGCCACCUCGCCACCUCAGCUAACGACUCUGCUCCUGACCCAUCCCUCUUCCAUAGUCUCGCCGGUGCCCUGCAGUACCUCACGCUCAUGCGCCCGGACAUAGCCUACACCGUCCAGCAGGUGUGCCUCGUCAUGCACUCGCCGCGCAUGCUACACGCCGCCCUCCUCAAAUGUAUCAUGCGUUAUCUGCGUGGUACCACCCACCUUGGCCUUCAUAUUCGUCUGUCUGCUUCAUCCCAGCUCAUGUCUUACACAGACGCCGACUGGGCCGGUUGUCCCGACACCGUACCUGACGCUCGAUGUCUGGCUACUACAUGUACAUCGGUGACAACCUCGUCUCCUGGUCUUCGAAGCGACAAACCACCUUGUCGCGAUCGAGUGCGGAGGCAGAGUACCGAGCUGUCGCCAACGCGGUCACGGAGUCGUGUUGGCUACGAAGCUUCUUCAGGAUAUCGGAUGGCCUCCAUGGUGCUACCACUGUUUACUGAGACAACGUAUCGGUGACUGAAGGAAAUAUGCCCUAGAGGCAAUAAUAAAGUUAUUAUUUAUUUCCUUAUAUCAUGAUAAAUGUUUAUUAUUCAUUCUAGAAUUGUAUUAACGGAAACAUAAUACAUGUGUGAAUACAUAGACAAACAGAGUGUCACUAGUAUGCCUCUACUUGACUAGCUCGUUGAUCAAAGAUGGUUAUGUUUCCUAACCAUAGACAUGAGUUGUCAUUUGAUUAACGGGAUCACAUCAUUAGGAGAAUGAUGUGAUUGACUUGACCCAUUCCGUUAGCAUAGCACUUGAUCGUUUAGUUUGUUGUUAUUGCUUUCUUCAUGACUUAUACAUGUUCCUAUGAUUAUGAGAUUAUGCAACUCCCGUUUACCAGAGGAACACUUUGUGUGCUACCAAACGUCACAACGUAACUGGGUGAUUAUAAAGGUGCUCUACAGGUGUCUCCGAAGGUACUUGUUGGGUUGGCGUAUUUCGAGAUUAGGAUUUGUCACUCCGAUUGUCGGAGAGGUAUCUCUAGGCCCUAUCGGUAAUGCACAUCACUUAAGCCUUGCAAGCAUUGCAACUAAUGAGUUAGUUGCGGGAUGAUGUUUUACGGAACGAGUAAAGAGACUUGCCGGUAACGAGAUUGAACUAGGUAUUGAGAUACCGACGAUCGAAUCUCGGACAAGUAACAUACCGAUGACAAAGGAAAUAACGUAUGUUGUUAUGCGGUCUGACCGAUAAAGAUCUUCGUAGAAUAUGUGGGAGCCAAUAUGAGCAUCCAGGUUCCGCUAUUGGUUAUUGACCGGAGACAUGUCUCGGUCAUGUCUACAUAGUUCUCGAACCUGUAGGGUCCGCACGCUUAAAGUUUCGGUGACGAUUGUAUUAUGAGUUUAUGUGAUUUGAUGUACCGAAGGUAGUUUGGAGUCCCGGAUGAGAUCGGGGACAUGACGAGGAGUCUCAAAAUGGUCGAGACGUAAAGAUCGAUAUAUUGGACGACUAUAUUCGGACAUCGGAAAGGUUCCGAGUGAUUCGGGUAUUUUCGGGAGUACCGGGAGUUACGGGAAUACGAGGAAGAAGUAAUGGGCCUCAUGGACCAAGUGGUGGAAGAGAGGAGGCAGGGCGCGCGGCCCUCCUAGCCCAAACCGAAUUGGACUAGGGGGCCGGCCCCCCUUUCCUCCUUUUCCUCCUUCUCCUUCCUUCUCCUUCUCCUCCUUCCUUUCCUCCUCCUAGUAGGAGUAGGAAAGGGGAGUCCUACUCCUACUAGGAGGAGGACUCCUCCUCCUGGCGCGCCCAUAGAGGGCCGGUCGGCCUCCCCCCUUGCUCCUUUAUAUACAGGGGCAGGGGGGCACCUCUAGACACACAAGUUGAUCUUCGUGAUCGUUCCUUAGCCGUGUGUGGUGCCCCCUUCCACCAUAUUCCACCUCGGUCAUAUCGUAGCGGUGCUUAGGCGAAGCCCUGCGUCAGUAGAACAUCAUCACCGUCAUCACGCCGUCGUGCUGACGAAACUCUCCCUCAACACUCGGCUGGAUCGGAGCUCGAGGGACGUCACCGAGUUGAACGUGUGAGAACUCGGAGGUGCCGUACGUUCGGUACUUGGAUCGGUCGGAUCGGGAAGACGUACGACUACUUCCUCUACGUUGUGUCAACACUUCCGUUGCUGGUCUACGAGGGUACGUAGACGACACUCUCCCCUCUUAUUGCUAUGCAUCACCAUGUUCUUGCGUGUGCGUAGGAAAUUUUUUGAAAUUACUACGUUAUCCAACAAUGACGUACCUCUCCACCAACCCGGUACAACACCAACGCACCAAGCACGUGGAGAUUGAUCUUCAUUUCGUGCGCGACCGCGUUGUCUUCGGAGAUGUUCGUGUUCUGCAUGUUCCGGCAACCUCCCAGUUUGCCGACGUUUUCACCAAGGGGAUACCAACCGGCGUCUUGACAGAGUUCCGGUCCAGCCUCAAUGUCGUCGAAGACCCCGUUGCGGCUGUGGGGGGCUGCUGGAAUUGUAAAACGCCUCCUGCAUGUACAUUACCGGGUCCCUCGGCUGGACAGAUCGGCUCGCGCAAGUAGCAUGGGACACCUGCGUCUGUUACACACGAUCCCCUUCUCCGUUGCUUGUAGCUGCUGUACCUAGGCGUAUAUAUAUAACUCUGUACAAUCUGGAAUAGACACGGUGAAGAUCACCUUUCAACUGUUCGCACUGUGCGGCCAAACCUUGUUUGGCUGGGACUGACAAAUGAAAAUGAUGCACCCGAGCACAUCCAGAAGGAUCUGAACGCUCGCAGUCCAAACCAGCUUAUCGGCAUUGGUACAGAGUUGAGGCAAAACCGAGCAGUGAAGCAAGCUCCAGCAUUUUCAACAUGAAGGAAACGAAAAAGACGAAACAGGCUCCAACAUUCUCGUCAAAAAAGAUAAGAAAAGGAAAAAAGAAACAGGCUCCAGCAUUCUUGACACAAAAGAAAUGAAGAAGGAAAACGAAACAGGCUCAGGCAUUCUUGACACAAAAGAAAAGAAAAAGGAAAAGGAGAAAGGCUCCAAUAUUCUUGACAAAAUAGAGAAGCAAAAGAAAAAGGAAUCAGGCACAAGCAUCCUCGACACAGAAGAAAAGAAAAGGGAAAAGGAAAUUGGAUCCAGCAUUCUCGAUAAAAAGGAAGAGAAACAGGAAACAGGUUCAACCAUUCUCGACAAAAAGGAAAAGAAAAAGAAAACAGGCUCCGACAUUUUGGACAAAAGAGAAAAGAACAAGGAAACGAAAACAGGCUCCAGCAUUGAUCUCGACAAGAAAGAAAAGAAAAAAAUUUGAAAAGCAAGCUCCGUCAGAACGGUAACAGUAGCACCAAUGCUAAAGAAGAGCAAAUUGAACAGUAGCACCAAGGUGAAGGAAGCUCAAGACCGAUGAGAUGUCCUGGUUUCUAUAUAUCCAAUUAAUAUACCAUAUUUUAAUUAUUGUAACAAUAUGAUUGUAUUUUUUGUGAUGUAAUGAGUCGUUUGAUUCGAACCUCUGUUUGUUCAGUUUCUGCUUGCUGCUGUUGUAAUCACAAACCGUCAUGUCAAAUAAAUGGAGUGAAUAGCAAAAAACUACCAUAUUACGGGCUAUCGUUCCGGAAAACUAUCGCUUGUUUUAAUUUUUCAAAAAACUACCACAAAAGUGGCUGGCUGUUCCAAAAAACCCAAGUGGCCGAACGGUUAAGUUUUAACUGGGGUUAUGACAUGUGGGGCCCGCCCGUCAGGGUUUUGUCGGCCACAGUGCUCACGGCGCGCGGGUGACGGCCGUUAGGGCGCACGGCCCGUCCCGACGAGGUCAAAAUGGAUCCGGCCCUCACUCUGUCUCCCUCUCGCUCACUCACUCUCUCCCCCCUCACUCUCACUCUCCCCCCUCGCUCUGUUUCCCCUGGCCGAGCUCUCCAUCGUCGCUGACCACCUCAGUUCCUCGUCGCCGGCCAGGAUGCCUUCUUGGAAUGAUGGGGAUGAGAGCUCCGACGAUAGCAUGGGGGGCAACCUGAUGGACAUGGAGUACUUUGUAAGCCUCAUCGUCCUCCUCUCUGUCAUUAUCUAGGGUUAGGGUUGAAUCGAUUUGGGAAUGAGGGUUGAUGAGCUGUAUAUUUGUAUGCAUGGAUUCAUUUGGUUUGGUUAUCUAUUAGUUUUGAUCUAGGGUAUGGAUGGCACUGUGAUGUCUGAUCUGACCUUGAGCAAGGCAAAGCUUGACUCAAGUUGAACUAGUUGAUGCAUUGGUUCUGAUCUACCUUUUACUGCAUGUAGGACACACCUGACACCAUCCCUGAGCCACUCUGGUGUGGUGCUCCCAUGGAGGAAGUUGCCAAGUGUACUCUGCAUGAUAUGAAGCCUAGGAAGUGUGUUGCUUUUGAAGGUGCUAAGACUGGGAGGAGGUUCUAUGGAUGCCCUGUUCAGGUGAGUAAUUGAGUAUCCUGGGUGGAUUCAGUUAUGCCUAGUGGAUUCAGUUAUUCCUAGUGGUUACUGAAUUUGUACAUUAACUCUAUUUGAACUGAAUUUAGUACUGAAUUUAUGGUUACAUGUCCUCCUUGUGUACCAACCCUCUUUUUGAAUUGAAGUUAGAACUGAAUUUCUGCAUUUUCUGAAGUAUGUGUUCUCUGAUCAAACUACAGGGAGGUGUGAAUUGUGGUGUAGUUCAGUGGGUUGAUCCUGCCUGGCCUGAUGUACUUAAGAACUGCCUCAUCAAGUUGUGGGAAAUGUUCCAUGAGCAAAACCUUGGAAGGUUUCAAGACAAGCAUGCAUAUGAGGAUGAGGUUGCCAAGUUGAAGAAGGACUAUGAUCUGCUCUGCACUGAGUAUCAUAAAAUGGUUGAUGAUGUUAGCAAGAUGUUUGACUGGCAUGAUGGUGUUGGCAAGAUUGACUACCAAAAAGCAAUGGAUGCUGGGAAAUUUGAGAAGCAGAAGGAAGAGCUAGAGCUGGAGAUGAAGAUGGAGAAGCUAAGGCUAGCAAAAGAACAGAGGUGUAUCCUUCAGGCCCAGGCAGACAUAAUUCACAACACCAGGAAGGCAAUGAAAGAGAUAAAGGUGGACAGGGAUCUUUUUGCACAAGAGAAGACAAAGCUUGAGAAAGUAGUUGCUGAUCUGCUAAAUGCUGGCCAUGGGAGCAAGGAAAAGCUUGAGAAAAUCAAGGCCAUACUGGAGGCUUGAAGAUUUGGACAAUGGUGGUUAAGUAAGUAAGGUGGCCUACACAUAUAACAGGCCUUGCAAGAUGAUGGUAGGAGUAUAUUUUGUGCAGUCCUAUAUGAACUAUUUAAGUUAUGGUAACUAGAGUGGUGGAGAACCUUUGCUAAGUCUGGCUUAUGUUAUUGUACUGUUAAGAACCUAUCUAUCUUAAGUAAUGCAGUGAAGAACUGUUUUAUUUCUUUAGGUUGUUUUCCUGAAAGUAGCAAUGCUGAACUAGUAUAUUUUUGGGCCUAAAACCAUUAUGUACACAUUGUGGGCCUAGACUGGGCUGUUUUAUUACUCCACCUACCUACCACCAACCAUUAGUAGUCUAUAAAGCCCACCCCUUGAGUGAAACCGCAGUCAAUCCCCCCAUCCCCACCCUUCUCAACCCCCCAGCCGCCAAAGAAACCCUAGAAUCCAAGGGAGAGAUGGAUCCUGGAGAGGUCAUAGAUGGAGAAGAAGAGGUGCCCAGACAAGCCAGGCGCAGAGAUGCAAGGAGGAGGGCGAGAAGGCAACUUGCUGAGAUGAUCCUUGCAACACGCAACCGCAAGGACAUAAAGCAGUUCCUGGAGGCAUUCCCCCCUGGUUCCAACCCUAGUGAUGAUGAUAUCAUCUACUGGGCAAGGAGGAGGGCAAAUUUCCAUCCCUUUUAGGUCACUAGGCAAAGGUGGACUAGGAUUUUGUACCCAUGAUGCUGCUGUUAUGUUUCUUUGUUCCUAGAUCUGUCUUUCUAUCUAUGUGAUGUUUGAAGUUGGUGUAAGAACAAUGUUGAAUGAGCUAUGUAUGUGACGAAUCAAGUUGUCCAUGAUGCAAUGCAAUGUAUGAAGCUGGUGAAAGAAAAAUGUUGAAUGAUCUAUCUAUGUGAUGAAUCAAUCUGUCUAUGAUGCAAUUUAUGAGUGAAUCUUUUAUCUAUAUUUGUAUGUAUGAAUGAAUUGAUCUGGUGAUCUUGAUGUUUUAAGUUAGAUAUGUUAUGGUUUGUUCAGAUGGCCAUAUCUUGUUGUUUUAGGUUUGAUCUCUUAGGGUUUGGUGCCUAGAUGGGAAAAUCUUGAUGUUUUAGCUUUGAUAUGUUAGGUUUUGGUCCUAGAUAGCCACUUUGGGGUUGGUCAACAAGUAGCCACCCAAAGUGGCCAAAUUUGGGUGGCUUUAGGGUUGGUCGACAAGUUCCACCCCAAAGUGGCCAAAUGUGGCCACUUUGGGGUUGGUCGACAAGUAGCCCCCCAAAGUGACCAAAUUGACCUAAUCAUAUCAAUCAAUUAUCAACAAAAUAAAUCACUUGAUCUACAUAACAAUGCUCAGCAUAAGAAAUAAUUUCAUAUGAAACAAUUCAUAACCUAGGACAUAUCAAAUCAAAAUAAAGCUUGACAACAGAUAACUUAAUUGUUCCAAGCAGUUCAAACACAGACCAUAUAACUUAAUUGUUCCAAGCAGUUCAUACAUAGACCACAUAACUUAAUUGUUCAAAUGAAAAAAAAGUUCACUGCAAAUAACACAGAUAGCAAGCAUGCCUAGCAAGUAGAGUUCAAGGCAUAAAGCAUAGUUGAGUGCAACACAUUCAAUGGUUGCCACUGGCUGUGAAAUACAAAGCAAGUUUGCUUGGGGCCUUCCUCUUCCUCUUAGAACCAACAUCAGCUUGACCUGAUGUUGAUGCUGCCCUUGGAGCAUUGAAACCUCUUGCACUUGACCUGGUGUUCUUUACUGGAGAUGAUGCACUUGACCUGGUGUUGUUGGCUGGUGCUGAAGCAGGUGGUGGGUUCUUUCUCUUUCUUGAUCCACCUGUUGAAACUGCAGUAGAUGUGGUUGCCCUUGUUGUAGCAGAUGUGGUUGACCUUGUUGAAGUUGUUGCUAGUUUCCUGCCCCUAAGUGGUCCUAAAGCUGGAGCUGGACCUGAAGCUGGAGCUGGACUUGAAGCUGGAGCUGGACCUGAUGAUGUGGCCUGGUGGUUGUUUUUCCUUGUCAUAAACUUGGCCUUAAGUCCGUCUCCAUAGAUUGUCCACCUGUGGCCUUGCAGACCACAGUUACUGCAUGUUAUUGUGCCCAUCCUUGAUGUAUCCUUUGGAGCUGGCACCUCAAAUUCACCCUUUCUCCUAGCUGUCUGCUUCUUGCCUUUCUUCUCCCUGAAAACUGGUGGUUCUAUGUCUGGUGUGUUGGUGUUGGGCCAGAAUUCAGGGCCAGGGACAGGGUAGAUGAUGUGCUGGUAUGCAGCCUUAUACAUUGGCUUCUUAAAGAAUGGAUGCACAUAAUCUUCUGGGUGAACUUUUAUCUUCUGCAUUGCAGAUAUUGCAUGGUGGCAAGGUGAUCCAGUCAUGUCCCACCUCCUGCAAGAGCAGCUCCCUACAUCAAGCUUCACACAAUAUGUGUUCUCUCCACUAGUUACUUGCCAGAUGUUGGGACCAGCCAUGUUUGCUUCACAGUAUUUAGCCCACUUCUUGCUCUCCUCAAGCUUCUCCAUGUAAUCUGGGGUUAUUUCCCACCUACAGCUCUCUGUUUUCUCUCUGAUGCCCUGGUACUUAACCAUUAGUUUGGUCCUCAACCCUUCAAACAUGGUCUUAAUUAGUUUUGACCUAACAUCUAGAAUCAUUUUUUUGAAAACCUCACUAAGGUUGUUCACUACCAAGUCAGUCUUGCACACAUGAUCCAUUGCAUAUCUAGCCCAACACUCCUUAGGGAUGCCAUUCAACCACAUGUAGGCUGGUUCACAUGCUGCUUUCAAACCUGCCAUUCCUUCUUUGUGACCAUGUUUAGUGAAGGAAUAGCUAGCUUUGUCAACCCAUUUCUUAAGUUCUUCUGCUCUAAAGCCAGCUGACUGGAAGUUGGCAUAUAUGUGUCUUAGGCAAUAUCUUUGUGGGGAUUGAGGAAAUACUUCAUUAAUUGCUUUAAGAAGGCCCUGUUGUUUGAUUACAUAAGGUAGUAAUGAGAUAACUAUAGCAGCAUUGCUAUGUGCAUAAGAAUAAUACAGAGCCAGAGAAAAUACCUUCUGCCUGUCAGACAUGAUGGUGUAGUUUCCAAACUGGUUGCUGGUGCCAAUGCAGACUCUAAGUUGGUUUAAAAACCAGGUCCAGCUAGGCCCAUCCUCUUUGUCAACCACCCCAAAAGCAAUUGGGAACACAUUGUUGUUCCCAUCUCUCCCAGUUGCUACCAAUAUCUGUUGGCCUGUGGAUAACUUGAUGAAGCAACCAUCAAGUCUUGCAUAAACAGAGAUAGUUAGGGCAAAAUUGAAUAACUUGAUUACAUUUGUAACAUGAUUAAAUCACUGAUUUGUACCUAUGAAAGGCCUACAACCAGCAAGAAAUCCAUCUUUUGAUGCCUGGAGGCAAUAGAACAUGUACUUGAACCUUGGUGUGGGGGCUGGGUUCAAAGGAUCCUCAAAAGUUGUCACUAUGCACCUGCUUCCAGGGUUUGUGUCAAGCACACAUUGUAGGUAGUCCCUCAACCUCAGAUACUGCUUUCUAUGAUCACCUUGCACAACAUCAACAGCCAUCAGUCUUGCCCUAUAUGCCAAACUCCUAGGUACAUGCACCCCAAACUUCUUCUUAGUAUGUUUGAGAACUGUCUCUACAUCAGCCUUUACAUUUGAUCUAACUGUGUCCUCCACAGCUUCUGCAACCCAUUCAGCAGUAACCUUUGUACUCUCUCCACAAGCUCCACAACUAUGAUCCAUGUGGCACUUCUUGAUUGUGAAUGUAUCUUCAUGGGCUACUUUGGAUGCAGUCAUGAAAAAAUCACAUCCAUUCUUCCUCUCUGGGCACCAAACAAUAACCCUUGAUGGUUCAUUCCUAUGGUACUGAAAGUUUCUCAAAGUCCUAACAUGAAAAUUUCUCAAUGCCUUUCUAAACUCAUACACAUUGGUGAAGCAAAGGUCCUUGCACAGCUGCUCAUGUGCAUCAGGUACCUUUGGGUCAUACCAUUUCCUCUCUUUCUUCUUCUUCAAUCUUCUCUUCCUUCCAGAAGGUAGUCUUGGAGUCUCCCCAUCUGAGUCAGAAAUGCCCAUAUCACCAGGGAAGCAAUACUCAUCAGCUUCAAGUACAAAAUCUUGAAACUUUGGGAUCUCUGGCUGACUGUGAGCUCUGGAAGUUGGACCUGGAUUUGCUACUGCUCUUCUCACAGGCUUGAGUUUCUCAGGCCUGCAUUUUUCCACAACUAUUUCCUCUCCACUGUCUGCCUCUUUCUCCUCCUGCCAAAACUCUGAAACAUCACUGUCACCUUCAAACUGUGGUCUGUCUUCUAUAGCAUCUCUUUCUUCUUCAUUUCCAAUAUUUUCUUCACCUCUCUUCCAAGCCUUGUAAGACAUCUUUAUCCCUCUAUAGUCACCCCUAUCAAUCUCAAAGUCUGAGGAUGAUUUGUCAAUAUCAUCAUCCUCUUGACCAGCAGCCUGUCCAUCAUCAUCUCCACCAUUAGCUUCUGAAAUGUUGAAGUUACAGCUUUGCUGUGUGUUCAAAUUAACUUCAAGAGGGUGGACCACUCCAUCUUGUGACAGACUUAACACAAAACCAGGACCCCCCAGUGGGUUGCCUAUUGGAAUUUGUUCUUCACAAACAUUGUGAGCCCUGUUACAUUCAACAUCUCUAUCUUCAUUUGCCUUGGAAACAAUGAUAUUGAGCACUGUGAAAUCUAAGUGGUCUAUCAUUUCUUCAACUGCAUCUUGACUGUCCAAAAGAAAUAAACCUUCCUGUCCAAUCCCUUGUUCUUUUACCCAGUACAUGUAGUCAUCUGACCCAUAGCCUUCAGUCUCAGUAAGUGCUAUCAAGUUCAGAAAUGUGAUGUCUGAAACAGAAAACCUCCUUUCCAUAUUAUCUCUGCCCUGGAAAUGCAGCCUAACAUCCCAAACUUCAUCAUCUAGCCUGCAUUACAUAAUAUGUUAUUUGAAAAGCCCAACUAAGUAAGUGUUUUUGCUACAAAUAUUCAGUGCACACUACUAUAAAGUACAGUAAGGAAUCUGAAUCCAAAAAAUGCUUCUCUGAAUCCACCAUGCAUUUCUACUAAAUCUAACUAAUCCUUCAGUGCUAAGUGAUACUGUUGCAUCCAAAACAUGCCACAGAGUGUUUGCUCAACUAUUAUUCAGUGCAUGUUCAUGUUCUAAGAUGAAUCACAGCAGCAUCAACCUAGGGUUUGGUCAAAAAACUAACUAAAUUAUGCUAUGUUAUUUGAAAUGAACAAGCAGAAAUGCAGAAACUGUUGAAGGAGCUCAUAAGAGGAAAAAAACUUACUCCACCCCUCCAAAUGCAGAGGCCCAGUGCUGGGAGUUGGCCGGAUCUGCCUGCACAGCCCUAUCAAGAGACCUCGCUGCUCUGUACUCAAGCGAGAACUGGCAAUCAUCAGGCGACGGUGGUGUAGCCUGUGUCGUAGGAGCCUGCAUCAGAGCUGCAGCCUGUGGUGUCCGCUGCGGCGGCGGCGGCGCCGCCGGCUAGGUUGCGAAGCUACCACUCCCCAGCCAGUUAUCAACCUCUAAGAACUCGCCGCCUCCAUCCCCCCUUCCACCUCCACCCGUUGAAUGGCCGCCAUCGCCUAGUUUCGCCGCCGCCGCCGCCAUCGGAGAGGGAGGCGCGCACAAGAGAGAGGGAGACAGAGAGGGGGAAGACAGAGUGAGGGCGGGCCGGAUCCAUUUGACUUGGUCGGGACGGCCCGUGUGCCCUAACGGCCGUCACCCGCGCGCCGUGAGCACUGUGGCCGACAAAACCCUGACGGGCGGGCCCCACAUGUCAUAACCCCAGUUAAAACUUAACCGUUCGGCCACUUGGGUUUUUUGGAACAGCCAGCCACUUUUGUGGUAGUUUUUUGAAAAAUUAAAAAAAGCGGUAGUUUUCCGGAACGAUAGCCUGUAAUGUGGUAGUUUUUUGCUAUUUACUCCAAAUAAAUGCUUAAAAAGAGUGCAUCUAAUGGAGUAGUACAAAAUGGUAAAGAAAAUAAAUCAGCCACUAAUGGAGUAACAAAGGUGAUAGCACGGAGUUUGGUAGGCACCGACAAUGAGUAAGCAGGCUGAGGCCACCGGUGCACGAAGAGGAUCAGAAGCGCUGGUUGGGGCUGUGGUUUGGGGCGGCUGCGAUGAAACUUCUUAUUCAACGCUUAUAGCACCGUUUACAGUGUUAUCGGUACCUUUUUUUUGAGGGAAAGAGCCAACUUUAUUAAUCAAAAUCCACAGUGCGUGGGACACAACGAUGGUCAUGGGGCUGGCCAAGCCACACAUGACGCCCUGGUGGUAGCGAUAAAGAAAACCUAGCUAUCUCGUGAGCUUCAGCAUUCUGAGCUCGACUCUCAAAGGUGAAAUUACAUAAAAGUGGUGAUGAGCUCAUCUUUAUCUCUCUGAUUAUAGCUCCAUAAGUGCCAUGACUACCCAUAGCAAUGUCGCCAAUGACUUGUUUGCAGUCCGAAGCCACCACAAAACGUUGCACAUUAAGAUCUUGUGCUAGGGAAAUAGCCUCCCGACAUGCUAUGGCCUCCAGUGUCGCGGGGUCGCAAACUCCGACAAUGACAAGUGAUGAGCUCCCCAUAUAGACACCCUGGCUGUCACUGCAUAUGGCCGCGGCCGUGCCACCCCUCUGAAAUCUUACUGCCACGUCAACAUGAACCUUAGCAUAGCCAGCAGGUGGAGCCUUCAGCCUCUGAGUAGAAGCGUGGCCAGUAGCUGCAGAACGUACGUUGAUCUUUGCAGGGAGUGAGGCAGUAGCCAAAUCAGCCAUGAAGCGAGUUAUAAACUCCUUCGUCGCCCUGGGUGAUUGGAAUAUUGAUUCAUGGAUAGCUUUUCUCCUCGAGGUCCAGAUCGCCCAUAAGGUGACCGCCAGCAGAGUGAACUUCUCAUGUGUUAGCAUAUCCAUUAAUCCAAAGAGCCAGCUCUUCGCCCUCGUCUCCGUUGAUGCGACCAGACUGCAGCCCAAGUCCUCAUCUACCAACGCCCAUAUGCAUCUGGAGACUGUGCACUCCAGGAGGGAAUGACUCCAUGAAUCAGGAGAACCGCAGAGGCCGCACGAGCUAGUCGUUGACAUAUUACGAUGGGCCCUCACAUCCUCCGUCGGUAGUGACUGUUUUGAUAAACGCCAUAGAAACAUGCGUACUUUUGCUGGUACCACAGUUUUCCAGAGGGACUUCCAAGAGGCUUCAUCGACAUGGUUGCUGGAUGAUGCGCCGGAGCCCUCUAGCCACGCCUCUCGCCGUUGCUUCAUAGAUACCAACAUAUUAUAGGCUGACCUGACUGUGAAUUGUCCGGUUCUCUCGUGCAUCCAGCUCCAAAAGUCCUGCAUAGGAGCCGUACACAACGGGAUACCCAUGAUGAUUUUAGCAUCGAAAGGCAAGAAAGUUGCUUCCACCACAGAUCUCUUCCAUGAAGCAUUAGUUGCAUCGAUCAGUUCAGAUACUGUGUUGGGAGGAUUACUUACGCAACAACCAUACGGUCUCAUCAUCUCUGACCGGGGAAGCCAGUUUUCGGUCCAAAUGCUGGUGCUCGCCCCAUCUCCUAUCCGCUUGAUCAGUCCCAAUUUAAGAAUAUCCCGGCCUUCCACUAUGGCUCUCCAUAUCUGACUUGGAUGGUUCCCAAGUGUUGCCUCAAGUAUAGAUGUAUGUGGAAAAUAUACGCUCUUCAGAAUCCGUGCACUCAGAGACUCGGGGUCUUGUAACAUUCUCCAUGCCUGCCUGGCUAACAUGGCAAGAUUGAAAAGCUCAAAAUCUUUGAAUCCAAGGCCUCCCAUGCUUUUUGGUUGUGUCAUUGCUUCCCAAGAGACCCAGUGAGGUUUGCGUUGGCCGUUUGAGCUCCCCCACCAAAAUUUCCUUAUUAGCAUAUUGAGGUGCUCACAUAACCCCCUAGGUAGUUUGAAACAAGACAUGGAAAAUACCGGCACUGACUGGGCAACAGAUUUGACUAGUACCUCUUUUCCUGCCGCCGACAAAGUUCUCUCUAUCCAUCCCUGAAUUUUGCUCCAUAAUCUGUCCUUCAAAUAUUUGAAGGCACCGUUUUUUGAACUCCCUAUAUCAGAUGGCAUGCCCAGAUACUUCUCAUUCAAGGUUUCCUUGGGGACAUUGAACAUACCUUUUAUAGCAUUGCGAGUUUCCUCAGAAACGCCUUUACUAAAGAAAAUUGAGGAUUUGUUGUAGUUGAUUCUUUGACCUGAAGCUUGGCUAUAAAUUUCCAACAACUGGUUAACCUCUGUAGCACCCGCACUGUUGGCCUUGAAGAACAGCAGGCUGUCAUCAGCGAAUAGAAGAUGGUUAACUAGUGGUGCCUGCAGCGCCACCUGAAUCCCACCCAAGUUUGAUGACUCACUUUGUGAUUUGAAAAGGCACGACAUGCCCUCUGCUGCUAACAAGAACAAGUACGGUGAUAUUGGGUCACCUUGUCGGAUUCCACGUGAUGGGUUGAACUCCUCAAGUUUCUUUCCAUUGAACAUGACUGCGAAUUUUACUGAGGUAACCAUGCCCAUUACAAUAUCCACCCACCUUCUGUUAAAACCCAAUAUAAUCAUGAUGGCUUAGAGAUAAGCCCAUUCAACUCGAUCAUACGCCUUCAUCAUAUCCAAUUUCAGAGCACAUGAGUGAUUUUUCUUUUCCUUGUUCCUCUUCAUGAAAUGCAAUCACUCAUAUGCCGUUAUUAUGUUGUCUGUGAUCAAUCUCCCCGGAACAAAGGCUGAUUGUUCAGCAGAAAUUAUAUCUGGCAGUAUCUGUUUGAGUCUGUUGGAGAUUACCUUGGACGCUAUUUUAUAGAGCACGUUACAUAAACUUAUGGGCCGAAACUGGGCAAGGAGUGUGGGGUUUUUGACCUUGGGGAUGAGAACCAGCACCGUAUUGUUAAUGCAUGCUGCUGACUCUGUCCCGUCCACAAUUUUGAGUACCACUUUCGUUACAUCUGCACCGCAUACAUCCCAGUGGCGCUGAAAGAAGUGAGCGGGGAAUCCAUCCGGGCCAGGGGCUUUGAUUGGAAACAUUUGGAACAACACACUUUUCACUUCAUCGUGUGUGUAAGGAGCAUUCAGACGAUCGUUCAUUGCCUGCGUUACUUUAGUAGAUACUGACUCCAGUACCCUAUCCAUGCCCUGUACUCCCUCGGUUGUGUAUAAGUUUUUGUAAAAUUCGGUGGUAAGCUCCUCCAUCUCCUCCCUGUCCUCGGUCAGCUAUCCAUCCGAUCGCUGCAACAAUUUUAUCUGGUUCUUCCGGCGGCGGCGGCUCGCUCGCAGGUGAAAAGAAUAAGUGUUUUUGUCACCAUGGACCAGCCAAUCCAGUCGAGCGCGUUGGCGCCACAUCAAUUCCUCUCUAUCAAACAGUUCGACCAGUCUGUCAGCUAUCUUGGUUUCAGUGUUUGUCGGUCCCGUCCGUCCUGGCGCUGAACGCAUGACCUCAAGCUGGCGUUGGAGUUGGCGAAUCUCCAUACGCACCGAUCCGAAGUUGUUGCGGUCCCACGCUGACAAAUCUCCCGCCAGGUUCCCUAGUUUUGCAUGUAUGCCCUCAACCGAUUCUCCAUCCUGCAGACUCCAGCUAUCACGCACAGUGUCAAACAGUGUUUCGUCCCUUUCCCACAUCGUCUCAUAUUUAAAAGCCUUGUGGCCCAUUUUGCAUGCAUGCAACUCACGUAGCUGAAGAAGAAUAGGAAUGUGAUCUGAACUAGCAGCACUUUUGUGCGAUAGCUGUGAUGAUGCGAGGGCGAGAGUCCAUUCUGUAUUUACCAGGCACCUGUCCAGCCUAACCUGGGUGUAGGUGCCUCCUGUGACCCUUUUUUCAAAUGUCCAACUAGUGCCAGAGUAUCCAAUAUCUGAUAACCCACAUGUAUCAACUGCUUCCCUGAAUGCUUCUAUUUGGGCUUGGCUUCGUUGUCCCACACCAUCAUGUUCAUGGCUGUGAAGAACCUCAUUAAAAUCUUCCAUGACUGCCCACGGUCUGUUCUGCGUCUCAGCAAUACCGCGCAGGGUGUCCCAUGUUUUGUAUCUCUCUGGUACCUGGGCUUCGCCAUAGACAAAGGUAAUUCUUACCUGCAAAUCAACUAAGUCAUCAACAAGAAUAUCAAUGUGAUACUUUGAGUAAUCGAUAACUUCCACUUUUAUUUCAUCGUUCCAAAAAAUUCCAAGUCCACCACUUCUACCGGAACUACUAACUGCAAAGCUUUUAUUGUAGCCUAUGCUAUCAGCCAUACUCUCAACCCUCUUUCCCUCUAUUUGAGUUUCAAGAAUACAAACAAUAGAGGGGGCAAACUGCCUCGCUAGAUCGUGAAGCUCUCUAACUGUCGCGGCUUUGCCAAUCCCGCGAAAGUUCCAGCAAAGAAGACUCAUUGCGCUAGGCGCGGCCCCGCUUCGGAGCCCGCCACAUGCGCAUCAGGGUUUUUGGUAGAAACUGUGCUCUUCUCCAGAGCUGACUCAUUAGACGAGGUUGACUUCAAUCUUUUCAGAUCCUGCUUGGGAGGAGGGCUAAGGGGCACCGCAGGUGAUGGCAGAAACAGUUGCUUCGUCUGUUGUACCGAAUAGGUUGGGAACGUGGUUUUUGGAUCAUGUGCCCCUCUCUUCCUGUUGCGAUCAACCUCAGUCAUUGCUACAUCUCCGUCUCGCUGAUCACGUUCCUGGUGAUGUUGAUCAUCAAACGAGUCUGCACUAUUGGGCGAUCGUCCUCUUCCUCUUCCCCCACGGCCUCUGCCGCGACCUCUCCCUGCAUUGCUGCUCUCGCCUUGAUAUCUUUGAAGACCAGAGUCUUUGGGGCAUGAACCCCGUCCCCGCACUCUUUGUGUUGGUGACCUAGAUGUCCACAAACUGCACACCAGUCCGGCAGUCUUUCAUAUUUGACUCUAAAGAUGACUCGUUCCACCGAAUCCUUUUUCCUUAUUACCAGUGAAACAACGUUCUUCAAAGGUUUAGUGACAUCGAUCCUGACUCAAACUCUAGCAAAGUUACCUUCAAAAUCCGGGGAUCUAGGCUCUGCAUAUAUGAAUUCUCCCAUAGUAGCAGACAUAGCUUUGACCUUAGAAAAGAAGCCAUCGGGCAGGUCGUGAAUCUGGAUCCAAAUUUCCAAUUUGUUGAGCUCUAUAGACGACGGCUUUGUGAAGCCAUCAUACUCUGCCAGAACUACUGCUUUCCCCUUGAAAUUCCAGGGGCCAUCUCCCAUAACCCUCUCCCAGUCACCCAGGCACGAGAAUUGCAUUGAGUACAGAUUAUCUUCCAGUGGUCUGAUCUUUACCUCUUGAGCUAGGUCCCAGGCCACUCUCAUAUUCCUAUAAAACCAAUAUUGGCUGUAUGUUUUCUCCGUGUGAACCCUAGCCAACGCCAUCCAGCGUGUUUCUUCCUUCGGCAGCUCGGUGUCUUCCACCACAACAUCAAUCAGAUCAUCUUCUUUCAGUCCAAGUUCCUCCAUCAUCGCAGCCAGAUUGGACGCAGUUGUACUUGAUCCAGAUGCAGUCGAACUCAUCAUGCGCUCGCUCGAGGUUAGGGUUCCGCGAGCGGUAGGUCCCAAGGAGUCACCACCCGCCCAGAACGCCGCGGCGGCCGAAGGCCACAGCGAUCGCCGGAAGGGGGUUAACAUCCGGGGAGGAAAAGUCCCUACGGUGUCGGCGUCGCCGUCGCUCGAGGGAAGAGAAAAACCCUAACGAGAGGGGAAACUUAGGAGGGAGAUUAGUGUUAUCGGUACCUGCCGCCCACACUACUUUAGAUAGCUAAUUGUAACUGGGCUGGCCCAUAUGUGUGAGCCCUCCUCCAUUACCGGUUGUGAAGGAAUUUCCUAUUCAACGCUUAUACCAUUUGUUAUAGUGUUUUCCUUUUGUUACAGUGUUAUCCGGGGACCUCCUACUUGGUCACCUGCGCGCAAAGUAGGAGGGAACGUGCACCCUUGGCUCCCAUGUAAGAGUUUUUCCCGCCCUAUUUUUAUUAUUUCAUUUUUAUGCCUUUUGUUUUUUCAUUUCUGUUUGUGUUUUUCUUCUUUAAAUAAUGUGUGGUUAAAAAAAUUCCCAAUUUCAAAACAAUACCAAAAUUGUUUGACAAAUCAGGAAAUAUUUGUGAAUUAAAAAUUGUUGAUGACUCUUCACUUCAGUGUCUCGACCCACCGGAACAAAAGCCGUGUGUACAAAUUGUGUUCGAAGCUUAUCGUAAACUGGCUUAGCAAGUGUAGUCUUGCCAAGUCUGCCUGGUCCAACAAUUGAGACCAUCUUCAUCUUGUGCUGCUGUUGCUUGAGACCAUGUGUGAGCCUCUUGGUUAGCUUGUUCCAUGCAUCUUCAAUGCCAACGAGCUCUUUCUGAUCAUUGUACAAAGCCAAUACACGAGGGUCAACCUUCUGUUUGCUAGCUGGAUUAGGAACAUCAUUGACCCUGUAUCUGGCACGCCGGCCAGCCAUCUCUUGAGAGCGGUUCUUGAUGUACCUGAUUGCAUCUCCGAUCUGAUGGCGAGUCUUGCCUUUUGUGAACAAGUUGGCCAUCUUCCCUACCUAUCAUUUGAUCAUGUUUGAGUUGGGGACGGCAUCAGAUUCAUAUCCCUCGACGGACACUAGGAAGUUAUCGAUGACAUCCUCCAUGUCAUACGACAGCUCCCUUUUAGGGAUUCAUGUCCCUUGGAAUCUCCGCCACCUUUACGAGGGCAGCGUUCAAGCUCUUCAUGUCCCUCUGGAGGGACUCGACGUACCGAAUAAAUGGGAGUUAGAGGACAGGAAUCUGUUGUAGGAAAGACAAAGGAAAUUGUUCUCCAUCGCCGUCCGGUUCCACUGGGAAAAAAUUACAUCCACUGCAACACCAAGACCGCAUGCUUACCGAGUAGUAGUAGAAGCAGCAGAGCUGAGUAAGGCACCCACUACCGAAUGCAGGGAUAAAUCCAGCACCAAGUAAGCAGCUCACAAGUGAGAGACGGCAUGCGCUUUGCGAACGGAAGGACAGGAGCAGAAAACAUUUUGGGAGAAAGAUCGACGUGGCUCAGAAAAUUGAAGGCGGUCUACUCCUCCUGAUUGAAGCCGGCGACUACACAAGCGCCAUGGUUUGAUGGAGCAAGAGAAAUGGUGUUGAACCCCCAACUCGUUCCAUUUCUAGCAGAAAAGUAGGGCAAUAAUUGAGUGGUGGUAUGUUAUUAGUGCUGGUAAUGGAGUAGGAAGCACCCUAGAAGUGCACCAACUAGUACAUCAAAAUACUCCUGCCAGUGGCGGUGGUAGAUCAUUCAUGUGUACUACUCGAUCGUAACAAGAACAAUUACAUGAACCAGCUUGUGCCACUAGUAAUAAUAUUUAGCUUAUUUUUACAUUAAGUUUUGCAAUGAAUAAUAUUUAGGUUAUUAAAAAGACUAUAGUUUAAUGGAUGGCCCAGAUUUGGAAAUAUUACUGCAGAUUUUUGGUAGUAAUAGACUUGCUUCACUUGUCGAUUUAUAUGAUCUGUCGCUUUCAGCGACGUUUGGGGCUGUGAUUUGGGUUUGUUGUCAUUGAAAUUGCACAACUAUAGAAACUGGAUUCUUUUUUAUUAUUAUAGUGAGCACAAGGAAUCAUGUUACUAGUUGAAUUCAUAGAAAAAGACUCCAUUCAGACUCUGUCCUGCUCCAUGAAAAUAUCCUAUCAGAUAGACGCAGAGCGGUACAUAUACAGACUCAGGUUUCUUGAAAUCUAAUGCAACCAAGUCUUGUACAAUGGUCACAUGUUAUGUGACCUGAACCAAUUAUGGGUUUGCACUUGAUAAUUCCCGCACGAACCACAUGUAAACAUGGUUCGAAGGCUUGAAUAACAAUGUAAAAUUGAUGUCAAGUUUUCCCGACUUGAUUCCUGUCUAGGUUGGAGUCAUCAGUCUACUUGAAGCACUCGUUUUUCUCAUCUACGUUGGAGGACUGAUUGGAGCAUGAAUUAGUUGAGGAGAUAGAAACCCAUUUUUGGCGAGGGAGAGGACAGAAACCCAUGACACAACAAGGUUUUCAUGAUCAUCAUUGGCUAACUUCAAAGUUCCAACAGAGUGCCAACUACCAAGUGAGUAGCAGUACAAGGCACUGUUCAGCUGAAUCAAUCUUUACAACAUUAACCUAUCAUUCACUGGCGUUUCAUACCCAGAAUUGACUCUUAUAACAGUACAGAAGCAAACCCCUACUUCGAGUCAGUGUUGCUCUGUACUUUUUUUAACGGAGGUUAUAACUACGGCCUCUUUAUUUAUUAUUCAGCGGCCAUCUUUAUUUAUUAUUCCACCAAAGUCUAACAAAAACAUACAUCAAGCUACUCGAAGACAUCACUCACACCUACAAAACUCGAAAAUGUAGAGUGCUCUCACACUCCUCAUAUCUAAACCGGUAUCGUCGCUGAUCCAUCCACAUAACGUGUCGGAACGAACAGCCAGUGCAGCAGACCUAAAGCGCACACCACAUGCACAUGUUUUAGACGCCGCCAUCAUCUGCAGACCGCUGACCCAUCUUCAGGAGAGAGAUCCACAUCAUCCUUGCCAGUCCGUCCAUCCAGUCCCUCCCUCCUCUCGGCCUCCCUAUUAUCCCUCCUCACCCUCUGCUGCUGAUCUGUGGCGGCCUCUCCAAUAGCUCUGUGGCCUUCUUUCGCUGCCGCACCGGCCCGAGCGUUGUCGCUUGCAAGCCGUCCGGAGGCCACAAUGGCGCUCUCCCGUCGGGACUUUGCCACAUUCCAGCAUAUCAGUUGCUCUGUCAUGGGGAUCUGUCCUGCUCCUAGCCGUGUCUCCCGCGAUGGUGGUAGACCUGACUUGUACUACAAUGUUCUUUGGUCGCACGGCUGGCCACGGCGGUUUGCUCCGUUCCUUUGUAUCUAUGUUGCAGCUUCAAUUGUGUUAUGCAUGUCAUGGAUGUAUUAUAAUUCUGGGAUGCAUGUAAUUGUAUUGCUAUGAAUCUUAAAAUUGCUAGGUGUUCCAUGAACCAAUGAAUAUGCUAGAAAAUAUUACUCUGUCAUAUAUAUGUUAGAAAAUGUUCUCGUCGGGCCGGGUUUCUCUGCCCUAGAGAACAUAUUCUACAUGUUAUAUGCGACAAUGUAGUGAUGAAUAUUUCACCGGAAAUAGUGUAAAUGCAACCAACUCCCCCAUUAGGAGACAGAGUGGAAUAUUGUUUGACGAUAGACUUGGUUUAUGCAUAUUCGACGCACGUUUGAAUUUUUUCUCCCGAGCCACAAGAAAGCUCCUCGCGCGACCGCGUCCGUCCCUCAUGGGCGGCCGGCCGCGCUGUCCAUCCCUCCUUCCCAGCGCUCUCCCCCACCCUCUCUCUCCCCACCGUUGCCGGGGUGCAUCCCCGGGCUCGGCUCGGGCGGCGCCGGCGGUGCGGCCCACGGCUUUCCCCCCUGCGGCAGAUCCUGUGCGGGGCGGCGCUGCUUAAGGAGGUGCUCUCAGGUGGCGAUGGUUCGGCGCUGCGGUGGGCUGGUUCGCCGCUGACUUCGGUGGUCAGAGGCGGAGGAGCUCCGCGGCGGCGCGGGCUGGUGGCGCCCGUUCGGCCCAGAUCUGGGCCGAGGCGGGCCGGCAGCUCCGAUUUGUGGUGUAUCUUCCUGGAAGCGGCGGUGGGGUGUCUGGAUCCUGGGUGGUGGCGGCAUCGUUGCCGGAUUGUGCAGCGUGGCGGUGGAGUCUUUGCGGGAUCGAUCUGAGCCCGGCUAGGCCCGGGUGGCCUGGUUUGCCUCCCGCCUCGGCGUCCGGCUGGCUACCGCGAUGGCGUUGGAGGAACUGGCCUCUGGCGCGGCGUCGGUGGAGGUUGUCCCCUCCCGCUUGGCUGCGGUGCUGCCACCCCCGGCUCCAUGCGUUCUCAUUUUCCGUCCUCUAGGCCUCGCGGUGGUGGCCUUAGUGAGACGGCGUGGGUGGCCUCAAGACCGCGGUGGCGAAGGAGGGUGGGUGGCGUGUUGGGUGGAAGACUCCGGAGCGAUUGGGUAGUGUGCACAAGUGUUAGAAUCCUAAAAGGUAAAUAGUUUCUUAAGAUCUGAAGCAAGUGUUGGAAGAUUCUGCUGCCUCUAGAUACACAACAAAUGUCCACAUGUUGCUUCUUGGAGAAGCCGAGAGAGCCUUGAGCGGAGUGUUUAACCUUAUGUAUGAUAUUCUUAACUACCAUUUGUAUUAAAUGAACCAAUAAACAUUUUAUGUUAAUUGUCUUGACAAAUUUUGCUGUGUGCAGACUUACAUAUUAGUGGCACUACACAAAAAAAGAUGGCUAAGGGGUUUAUGAAGUAGGAUAGAGAUUGGUGAGAAAAUAUGUGCCCUCUCUCUCGUUUGUAAAGAGGUUCAAAUGUUAUGUGUGUAGCUUUUGCUAGUAUUCUCGAAUCGUUGGCCGUGAAUUGUCAAUUGUGUAAAUGUACAUGUGAAUUGUCUUAUGAAAAACAAUGUGCAACUGAGUGAUUAUGCCUGUGUAUUGUGUUCAUGUCUUUCUGUAAAUUUCGUUUGCAUUGCUGGUAACAUACUGAAAUGAAGUGCAUGCAUGCAAUGGUGAAAUGAAUCGGUACGAUCGACUGGCUGGCGGUCCAAACUAGUACACUAUCACUGACCGGUUAGAUUGCGGGUCUAUGAUGAGCAAGUCAUCACAAACCCUGAUCCACUGACAGACCAGCAACUAGUUAGUGAUGAUGAAAUUUGGCCGGUAAGUGUUAUUCGGAUUUGUAGUANNNNNNNNNNNNNNNNNNNNNNNNNNNNNNNNNNNNNNNNNNNNNNNNNNNNNNNNNNNNNNNNNNNNNNNNNNNNNNNNNNNNNNNNNNNNNNNNNNNNNNNNNNNNNNNNNNNNNNNNNNNNNNNNNNNNNNNNNNNNNNNNNNNNNNNNNNNNNNNNNNNNNNNNNNNNNNNNNNNNNNNNNNNNNNNNNNNNNNNNNNNNNNNNNNNNNNNNNNNNNNNNNNNNNNNNNNNNNNNNNNNNNNNNNNNNNNNNNNNNNNNNNNNNNNNNNNNNNNNNNNNNNNNNNNNNNNNNNNNNNNNNNNNNNNNNNNNNNNNNNCUCGGGUUUCUGCCCCUUUAUGAUAUAUGAGAAAACUGAACGAUUCAGGUGAAACUAGUCAUGAUAAUAAUUAGCAAUUCUAGUAUUUUAACACACAUAUCCCAAUCACUAUAGUUUUUUCAAACGACUAUUUUAACAACGCAUCUACGAUUCAUAGUAAAAUGUGACAUUGUAUACUGUAAAAUUUCUACAAUCUACAAGGUCAAAUUUAUUGUAAAUGUGACCACAACACCAGAUACACUAGAAAUAAAGUAAAACCCUAAAAGUCCCAUGCUAGCUAGACUACUCUUGGUUGGCUAGAAAUUAGGAGGGAGUACCCAGAUGCCAGUUUGAGCACGAGCUGCUACAUAAGAUCCCGCUGAUUUGAUCCUCUGUGUGACAUUGUCGCUACUUUCAUCUUGCAUAGGAUAUACACGGUUACCAUUGCCAUCAAAACUUGCCAAGUAUGUCAUAUCAUCAGCGUAGAUGUGGUUUCUCUGCACCCUGUCGCGCCCAACCACCGGCACGUCAACCGCCCUGGACAUUUUCCCCAAAAAUAAGGCGGAGUCACCCAAGGUCCUUACUUCCUCCCACUUACGAGCAUACUUUGUCAUCGAGUCAUCAUCCAACACAUAAACCUUGAAGAAAGGCUCAGGGCCGGUGUGGUAUGAUGGGAAUUUCCCCAGUACCAUCGCUAGCUUCCCUUGCAGCUCAACAAUGUGAGUCGACCAUGUGAAAGGUUCACUAACAAUCUUGAUAUGCAACUCGGCGUCAAUGGCGAGCAGAGGCCUGCCAUAUUUGUUCGCGCCUAUGUUGAAUUUGAUCAGGUCAUUGGAGAAUAUUAUAUUAAUGUCAAUUUAAUAUUAUACUAUGUGUCGUCAAUUUAAAAGGCUCCUGCCGUCAUGCCUUUGAGUAUUAUAUUAAUGUCAAAUUGUUUAAAUGCUAGUAAUUAGUUAACUUAGAAGCAAACUGUUUAUUGAUAAAAUGCUAUAGUAUAAUUAAGGGAGUUUUUUUUUUGAAAAAUAAUAAUGUUAGAUAUAUGCUGAUGCAACAAGGGCAUGAUUUUAUUUGUUAGCAAUACUAAUAAAAAAGUUCAUAGAAAAUAAUUUUAUACUCCCGAGGGUUAUACACAUAGUUUAAUUUGUUAAUUGUUAAAAAGUUAGCUAUACAACUAGCUAUAUAUUUGUAAAUACUAAUUAGUAGUGUAAAAAAGCAGGAACGAGCACCCGCCUAUGAUACCUUGAUUUACCAACACAAAACGUGCAUCUUGUGUGUAUGAUUGUGAAAUGCACGUUGUGUGUGGAGUUUGACAUCUAAUUUUUAACCCGCUGUUGGUCUUUCAUAUAGAGGAAUGUCUCGCUGUGCUUCCACGAGUCCCUGUAGUUCGCUACGGCUCAGAAACACAGUGUUCGGACGUCAGAUACACUAAAGUUGCACUAUGACAACCAUUGUACAAUCCAGCCCGCCUCAGUUAUAUUAAUAAAAAUAUCGAUCCGAGAACUUUAUCAUGUAUCUGGUUGCGACAGACGCAUAUACGUUCGAGAAAAAGGAGAUAAAUGGUCCUGCGAAGGUAAGGUGGCAGCUAUCGGUGUUCUAGUACACAAGACAACCGAACGCUACACACAGUACUACAAGUCAGUAAUAAAUAGAGUCUGGCGACUACUAGGCUGGCAUGACAGUGCUGUCGAGCGACUCGCCGAUGUGUAUGGCAAUGUGGAAAAUGCAUCCCAUUACUUCUCAUCUCCGCUCCUCUUUGCUCGGUUUGUCCAAGAAGCGGAACACACCACUCAUGUCGGCCUACAUGGCAUAACAUGCUCGUGGAGAAACUAUGNNNNNNNNNNNNNNNNNNNNNNNNNNNNNNNNNNNNNNNNNNNNNNNNNNNNNNNNNNNNNNNNNNNNNNNNNNNNNNNNNNNNNNNNNNNNNNNNNNNNNNNNNNNNNNNNNNNNNNNNNNNNNNNNNNNNNNNNNNNNNNNNNNNNNNNNNNNNNNNNNNNNNNNNNNNNNNNNNNNNNNNNNNNNNNNNNNNNNNNNNNNNNNNNNNNNNNNNNNNNNNNNNNNNNNNNNNNNNNNNNNNNNNNNNNNNNNNNNAAGACGAUGAAAAUUGAGUAAACACAAAAGUAAAGUAGCCGGUCUCAUUAUCAUUAGAAGACGAUGGCAACUACUGCAUGCACCCAUACAUUCUUGGAUCGCUAUAUUUGGCUUAUUCGGUCACAAACCGACGACUUUGCAGCUGCUACAUAAACAACGCUACUCUGGAUCUUAGGGAAAAAUGUUUGGAGACGGAUAUUGAUAAAGGAAACCGAGGAGAGUUGGUGAUGUGAGUCUACUCCAUCGUGCAUGCUACCUACAUGGACAAGCACAUCCGACCUGGCACAGCCUCGAGUUUCAUUAUCCCCUCUUGAUCCCUCUGAUGUUUCCUCUUUCUCUUCAUCAUCAUCUUCACAUCCCUCAAUGUGCACGUUUUUGUGCCUCGAUUUGAUUGGUUCAACUACUUGCUGGCUAUCCUCAGAGUGGUCAAUUUUUUUGGUGUUCGCGAGGAGUCACCAGUACAAGCAUGGUACUGAUAUGUCAUACAUGACCGUGGCAUUUGUACUUGUAGUUUCCUUUCAUUUUUCAUUUUCCUUUUUAAACGCAUACUGUACUUUCUUUACUACACGAUAAUUAAUAUACACUGCACAUUUUUGUAGUAUACGUCAAACAAAUUUUUUAAUUGUAUGAAAACAUAUUUUAUAUUCACACUAUUUUAAAAAAAUAUAGUGAAUAUUUCUAAAUACAUCUAUAAUUUUUUAAUACACAAUGGACAAUUUUUUCAUGUACACAUAACACUUUUUAGUAUAUGAGGAACAUUUGAAAUAUACGGCGAACAUUUUCUAUAUACCCACUAAUAUUUUUAUAAAUGCUGAACAUUUUAAAAGUACACGUUCAUUUUUGUGUUUUCACAAACCAUAGAAAACCAAGAAACUGAAGUAAAAUGAAUAAACGAAAAAAAACAGUACCGGACAGCUCCGUCGCUGCAAAAAUAGGUCUGCACGUCUUAGUGGGCCUACCCAUUCAGAGUCACCUAUGCGUAUCCUCAACUUUUUCGACAACGGGUGCCUUUUAUUUACUUAUAAUGUUGCAUCGAGGGAUACAAUCAUAACAAGCACACACCCAAACUAUGUAUAACUAGCAUACACACUGCGAACACACAUAAAAAAUCACACUGGCAAAUAACAAAGUCAAAUAAGACAAGAACUAUGGCUAGACACAUACAGAAAACGAAGGAAAGAAGAAGAAAUCCCGAGGCGACCAAAAGAGCAUACGUGAGUGAUCAUAUGUGCCAACCAUCUGAACUACUGCGUCAACUAGGAGGUCUCGCUUCUAAGGCCAUCAAUAAUAUUAACGAUGGUUCCAUAUAAAAAAAGAAUAUUAACGGUGGUAGCAGGUGCGAGAUCUUAAAUUAUCAUUUUUUAAGGCCGCUCCAUCGUUUUUGUUCUGCACAAGUGGCUCCCCUAGCCGUAACCCCACCCACUGGUUAUGUAGUUCUUUAAGAGAAAAUCGAUGACACAUGCAAGCAACAAUUUUGUAUCUUCUGUCAUUUGUUUAUACUAUGCCAUCACGAGGAGAUUGCACUUAAAAAGACAAAUUGCAUAUAGGAUAGUUAAAAAAGGGUUGUUUUCUGUCGUGGAAAGGUUGAUUCUAGUAUGAGUAUUCUCUUGGUAUCCGUUCCUUCAUGGAGAAGAGAAGGUGAUUUUCUCUCGCCGCCCCGUCAAUUGAAAUUAUACAUGUUCAAUGAUGACAUGAAGGUUAAUUUCACACCACUCAUUCAUUGUGCUUGCCUUGAGUUCCCUUCAAGGAUAUACCGUGGCAUUCCCGCCUCAAAGAGCUUUUUCAAACCCCUUUCUCAAGAUGCACAACUCAGUCAUUGUUAUCUUGUGUAGACGGGUUCAUCCAACAGGGUAUAAGAUAACACGAUGGACUGAACUGAAGAGAAAAGAAAAAAAAAAUCAUCUACUAAGCCUUAAGCAUUAAACAAGCUUGGAGUGUUGGUCAGCGUGCGACAUCAUUCAAGAAUUUUGUGGACCUACGCUGACCCAAUGAACUUGUGCCCUAUCCCUUGAAGAAAUAUCUCAUCAAUUAUGAAUAAAAAUGUUUGAAGCAUAGAAGUACUCAUGUUUUGACAACAAUACGACCCAUUGUCAUAAACUCAUAAUAUCCCCAAUUUUUACUCAUGAAAAUCAUGUUUGCAUCCCUUUUUGACUCGUUACAUUGCAAUUGUGUCCCAAUUAGAUAACAAUAACACUAAUGAUUGAGCUUGCCAUUGGUAUUCAGUUAUGUGUACACACACAUCACCUUAUGGGUAUUUCACACGAGAAGAAAAUUAGAGGCGAUUUAUUUGCAACUAACAGGCGCUUGCCGCCUCCCAUUGGCUCGCUGCUUGCCAACAAGCAUUCGAUUCCAUUCAACUGAAUUUAAGAAAAAUGGUCAGCAUGUUGGCGCUGUACUGUGUUGGGUUCGUUGAUUGCAUCCAUAUAUAUAAGCAGUCCAUUCCAUUCAACUCAAUUCAUCAACUGCAUCCAUAAUAAAUAUCAAAAAUUCCCCAUGGCACACAACGUGAUUUGCUUGCUUCUUGAUCGGAUUAUCAAACACCGGAGGGGUGUCUUCCUGUGUGAGGGUGGCCGAAACAAACUCGGCAAUUGCAGACGCUCUGAACUCGCCAUCUGCAAUACACACAGUACAUUGUUAGCCAAUUUAACAGUCAAACCAACUCGGUACAUAGAAAUGGAAAGGAGAAGCUAAAACAAGUUUACCAUAUACUGUUAACUUCGCCUCUUUUUUCUUGAGCAGGACUAGUGAUGGGCGCUUUGCUUGCGGGUCAACAUGGAAAAGCUUGGCUAUAUCAGGACUGGUAGUCUGGUAGAUGUUGACAGCCCGGUACAAGCUGUUGAAAUCUUCCAGCCUUGAGGCAGCAGCAAGCUCUUCGGUGUGAGCACCCUAUAGCAUUUGUUGAUAAGAGUAAUCAAUUUUGGGCCACAUGUGCGGUGCAAUUGCAGCAAUUCGGUUGGAUGGUAGACUUUGCUGGGAUUGGAACGUACCGAAAGGGAGUCGAGGAAAGCUAGCACGGCUACUUUGCCGCCGGUGAUGAUCUUCUCGGCCUCGUCGAUGGUGGUGACGUUCUGCACCUCAGGGCCCAGCCUCUGGGAUAUCCAAGUGACCAUGGCGUCCCUGCAGCAGUGGAAAAUUCGCCACCAUGAGGGAUGAAAUAUAAGACCGUUUAGAUCACCAAAGUAAUCUAAACCACGAACAAAAAAUAAGAACAAAAAAUUUGAAUGGAACAUUUCCUGAAAUUCACAAACAUUUCUUAAAAACAUGAAUCUUUCUAAACCACGAACAUUUUUUAAGUUGUCAACAAGAACAUGUUUUGAAGAUUCAGAAGAGUUGUAGUAAUUUUUUUCUUUAAUGCAAACAUUAUUUUCAAUUUUUGAACAUAUUGUGAAAACAACAAUAUUUUUAGAAUUUGGAAUAUUUUCAAAAUGCAUUUUUCUAAAUAUUGUUUUUUAAAUACAGUUAUUUUUUAACAAAUGGCAAUAUUUUUUAAAUUUUGAAAUACAUUUGGCAGAACUAAAAAAAUUCCAAACAUUUUUAGAAUAGGAACACAUUUAUGUAAUUCGUAUAUUUUUAUGAAUUCUUGAAUAAAAAUGAAAUUGCGAUAUUUUCCGAAAAUUUUGAAUUUCAGAAAAUACGUAGAAAAUAGACUUAGAAUGUGAAAAGUAAAAAAUAAAUACGAAACAAAAAGAGAACUAAGCAGAAAAAUAAAAAUGGAAACCGAACACAAGCAUAAAUCGGCCGCUGAGUUUUGGGCGCCUUGUGCGUACCUGAAACUAUUUACCGCCUUGUGCGGGAAAUAGGAUUUUUUGUUGCUACAUGGGCAGGAAAAAAUGGGCUGAAUUUACGGGGCCAUAGUGCGCGCGGCCCAUGUACGAAAUUUUGCACAAAUUGUUUUUCCUUUGCUAAUAGACGAACAUAGAAAGUUUAGUACCACCUCGGAAAGAAAAACAAUAAUUUUUUGGCGGUGAACGGAUAAAAAAAUCGGAGAAACGCACCUUGCUUUAUUAGUAGGUAUAUAUAGAUAUUGAUAUAGAUAUAGAUUGCUCAAGGUGAAAAGCUAAGGCUAUCCUCUUAAGAAAAAAAACGAAGUUAUCUUCCUCGAAAGAAAAACAAAACUAUGUUAUAUAUCCUCCUCUCAAUCAACAAAAUCACCUCUCCUCGAGCAAGCCAACUCUGACUGCACCAUGGGUAAACGUCAAGAUCCCUCCGAACGAUACACGAGAACCGUCUCGGCCACUGCCAAACAAUUGGCCACAAGCUUCGACAACAUAGCAGCUUGGAUUUUGCCGAUGAACUUUGCUGGGGAAAAUUGUAAGCCUCGCACCGAUCUAGUCCAGCGCAAUCUCUGGAGAGCAGCGUCCACUGAAACCAUCUUCAUGGAGUCAUCGUUUCCGCAGGCGCCCCUCCACACACAGCUUCAUCUUCUUUGUUACAACAAGAAACAAGCAUAGGCACACCCAUUGGCACACCCGACUGUCAAAUUCAGAAGGGCCAACCACGACCUAGCUCCGCUCGCCACCAUUGUCGUCGCCACGAGUGCCAACACCAACUACUCGCAUCAUCAGCUGUGCACCAUCCAACCGUGAGAAUGUGCAUAUCCAACCCAGGAAAAGUGUGGAGGGGAACAAAUCUUCAAGACGGCGCCCUAAGUGGGGAGCGAUGCAGAAAUAACAAUGUUGUCCGACCCUGCAACAGGGACCUUAGGCUUUUACUGAAGACAUCCCAAGGGUGACCAAGAUGGAAGAGCUGCACGGCGACCCUCCAAGAAGGAAUAACGACACUAGCAACCGCCACAUCAUCAUUGAUGGCAUAAUCCAGGCAAGCCUUUGCCCCGGAGGAACAAACGUGCACAUACACCCCCACUAGACAAAAUACUGCCUUACCUAUAGACAAAUCAGUUCUUUUUUGGGCGAGAUAAGCCCAAAGUAAUCUGUGCAAAUAUUCUCUGUAAAUUCAAAAUCUAUGUGUAUUAUAUGUAGUUAAUCAACAUUUUACCGCCCAAAUUAGAAUCCUAGCCACUUUAUACCUCGAACUUUCAUUAAAUGUGUCUAGACUUACGUAUUGAGUGCACCAUGCAUGCUGCCAAGCCAACCCGCGUUGAAUCGCGCCAUAAAUUUCCUUAAGUUUAAAUUUCCGCUAGGAUUUACCUUGUAAAUAAGUUUCCACCGUUCUUACUAGCACAAAUUUAAAGCUUUGGGGUAAAUCCUUUCUGCAUAAUCCCUGUAAAAAAUGAUAAAAGUAAAGGUACAAAGUAGAAAUUUUAAUAUAUAUCAUCACACAAUCAUAGUACAACCAGCACACACAUACAAUUAUCAUCCAUACAAGCCAGAAAAGUAAGUCAGAACAAUCACAAGAUUUACAUGGGCAUCAUACCCUAAUCUUGAUUGAUCUUGACAUUAUAUAGCACAGAAUGACUUGAUGGUGGUGGGUUACAACACACCACUUAUUUAAUCCAGCAGGCAAUAUAAGUCACGAGUAUACUAUAUCUGGCGCGGUUGAUGUACUCGAACAUCUCAUCCCAGCGGCUCCUCUUGGAUGUGUGCUUCCACAUUUUCCUUUUCCGCUUGUGUCCCAAGUGGUGGUUUUGGUUGUGCAUUCGGGUCCGGCAGUCCAGGCAGUGGUUGUGGGUUUGGGUCUGGUAAUGGUUGUGGGUUUGGAUCAGGCUGCGGUCCUGGUAAUGGCUGAGGGUUUGGGUUUGGUUGUGGGUCCGGCAAUGGUUUUGGGUUUGGGUCUGGUAAUGGUUGUGGGUUUGGAUCAGGCUGAGGUCCUGGUAAUGGUUGAGGGUUUGGGUUUGGCUGUGGGUUNNNNNNNNNNNNNNNNNNNNNNNNNNNNNNNNNNNNNNNNNNNNNNNNNNNNNNNNNNNNNNNNNNNNNNNNNNNNNNNNNNNNNNNNNNNNNNNNNNNNNNNNNNNNNNNNNNNNNNNNNNNNNNNNNNNNNNNNNNNNNNNNNNNNNNNNNNNNNNNNNNNNNNNNNNNNNNNNNNNNNNNNNNNNNNNNNNNNNNNNNNNNNNNNNNNNNNNNNNNNNNNNNNNNNNNNNNNNNNNNNNNNNNNNNNNNNNNNNNNNNNNNNNNNNNNNNNNNNNNNNNNNNNNNNNNNNNNNNNNNNNNNNNNNNNNNNNNNNNNNNNNNNNNNNNNNNNNNNNNNNNNNNNNNNNNNNNNNNNNNNGGCAAUGGUUUCGGGUUUGGGUCUGGAAAUGGUUGUGGGUUUGGAUCAGGCUGCGGUCCUGGUAAUGGCUGAGGGUUUGGGUUUGGUUGUGGGUCCGGCAAUGGUUUUGUGUUUGGGUCUGGUAAUGGUUGUGGAUUUGGAUCAGGCUGCGGUCCUGGUAAUGGACGAGGGUUUGGGUUUGGCCGUGGGUCUGGUAGUAGCUGCGGGUUUGGGUUUGGCCAUGGGUUCAUCAACCGUUGCAGGUUUUGGCCUGGCAAUGGUUGUGGAUUUGGGUCAGGGUGUGGUCCUGGUAAUGGUUGAGCAUUUGGAUCAGGUUGUGGCUCAGGCAGUGGUUGUGGGUUUGGAUUAGGUUUAGGAUCGGGUAGUGGUUGCGGGUUUGGGUCUGGUCGUGGUCCUGGCAGUGGUUGUGG
rnacentral:lncRNA from 1 species